rnacentral:lncRNA from 1 species
AAAAAAAAAAAAAAAAAUGUUGAUGAAAAAGCUAAGUGUGAAUGUUUGAGAGGCUAACACAAAGUUUUCUCAAGUUUCUUAAGCUUGAGAGAGUGUUGGGCUCAAGCGAGUUGCUUAAGCCCGUUAAGGGCAAAAAAAUAGGUUUGGGCGUGCUGCCCAGGAUCCAUGGUUGUUGAGUUCAGGGAUUGCCUAGACCCAUUCUUUUUGGACCGUUGGGGCGGUUUUGAGCUUGUUAAACUUGAAUUCAUCGCAAAGAUUUCUAGUUCAUACUCAACAUCAUUUCUAUAUGCUUGCCUUGUUUGUGUUGAGUGUUUGGAAGUGUGGUUGUGAUUGCUUUUUAAAGUGCUUUUCACUCAUAAAUGUAUUAAAAUAAUAUUUUUUUUAUUUUUUUAAAAUUAUUUUUGACAUCAGCGUAUUAAAAUAAUCUAAAAACACAAAAAAAAUAUAUUAAUUUGAAAAAAAAAAAUAAAAAAAUUUCAAGCAAACAGGACCCUAUCAUAUAAUAGGUCGUGGUUGAUAUCCUUGCUUUCUUUACUAUAGCAACAUAACAUUUGUGUGAUGGCCUCCCUUUACUCAGGAGCUUACAUAUUUUUAAUGAAAACUUUGGAGGUACGAUGAACUAGCACAUGAUACAUGAGAUUGAAAAGAUGGACCAUCAACAUCUGAUCAAGAAAUGGAGAAGUUGGAUCUGGCUUACAUAGAUACAUGACUCAUGAGGACCAGCAAGAUACACGAGGAACAACGUUUUCCAGGACAAAUAUCAUUAUCACCGUCCGCCACCGCUGUCUGAUUAAUUUGUGGCUCGUAUUUCAAAUUAAUGACUUGGAGUUCUGUUGUGCACAAAACCUAGAUAUCAUCUCAUCCAUUAAUCACAUGACUGUGCAUCAGAAUGCGUGCAUUUUAAACGUCAAAGCUGGUGAAAAAUUGAUCAAACAAAUCAUAGUUAAACACGGAAACACAAAAAAGAAAAAAAAAUCAUAGAAAUAGAUUUUCAUUUUAUCCAAAUAAAAGGAGAAGACUUCGAUUUUGAUUAUAUAUAUUGCUAUAUAUAGUUUAUAAAUAAGAUAGCAAAAUUUAAAAGAAAUGCUUACAUCAUUUAAAGAAACACGUUGUGUGUGCACGCGCGCAUACAUAUAUAGUACUUACUAUGAACAAAUUAAACUUUUAUUUGCGUUUUAUUUUAGGUCAAAUUUCUUAAAAUUUAGCUGGCUAGAGAAAUAAUGACAACCAAGACACUUAAUAAUAUAUAAUAUUAUAAAAAGAAUAAUGUAAAAAUUAAGAGAAGUUUUAGAGUAUUUUAGAAAAUUAUCAAUAAUUACUUUAUAUGAUAGGGAUAGACAUAAAGAGGAGAGACUAACAUGAGAGAAAAUUAAAAAAUAAUUUUUGAGUUUAGGUGAAAAUAUAUUUUAUCAUUCUUGUUAGGAUCAAAUGUAAUUUUUUUUUUUAUCUUUGUUUUAAUUAUCUAUCUUCUUAAAAUAAACUCGUGGAGCUAUUAGUAGUUACUUUCGAAGUAUUCAAAAAAUAAUUAUAUAAACAUAUUAAAGAACUAGUUUAAUUUAAAAUUUUAAAUUAUUAGAUAAAAUCUUAAAAAUAAUUUUAUAUCAUUUUCUAAUAUAAUUCUUUCAAGUAAAAACUAUUUGAAUACAAAAUUGUUAAUCGCUAUGUUUUGCUUAAUUUUCAUAUUAUCUUGUGUUUUUUUCUUUUAUAUUAGAUAUAAAUAGAUUAUAUUUGCAUGAUGUAUUUAUAAAAAUAAAAUUCAAUCAUCUAAGAUAAAAAAAAACACAUAUUUAAAAAUAAAAUAAUAUUUAAAUAUUUCCAUGCUCAUAUGUAUUUGACUUUUAGGAGAAAGAUUUCCUUUAUAUUUUAGUUUUUUAAAAAAAUAUUAACAACUCUUUAUCAAUUUAAUAAUUUUUUUAUUUAAAUUUAAAUGAAUAUCCCCUCUCUGGAUUUUUAAAAUUUUUAGUUAAUUUAUUUAAAUAUCAUUUAUUUUUUUUAAUUUUUUUAUAUUUUUAUAGUAUUUCAAAGAGACUUUUUUAUAUAUUUAAUAUAAAUAGAAUUUAUUUACAUGAUAUAUUUAUAAAAAUAAAGAAUAUUUGUUCCUGAUAUGAAAAAAAAACCUCUAAGAUAAAAUAAAAAAUACAGGGGUAAAUAUUUUUAUUCUUAGUUAUCCUUUGUUUAUAGGAGAAAUAUUAGCCUUUCAUUUAAGUAUUUAAAUAGAAUUAAAAAUUCCUUUACAAUUUAUAUAUUCAUAUAGCUUUUAAAUUUAUUUUGUUAAGUAUAAAUAGUAUAUAUGUGUUUCUUAAUUAAAACAAACCAUGAUAUAAAAUGAUUAGAUGAUGGUGGACUUUUUAAACCAGUUGGUCCACCAAAACCGACCAUCAAUUUUUAGGAAUUUGGGCCGGUCAUCUGCCACUGUUGUUGUGUAGCCUAAAGGGAGCUAACAUGAUGAAUGUCAUGUGACCUGUUCAUGGAAUGCCACGUAGAAGGGAGUGCCUUAGCUAUCAAACUAGAUGAGUGAGUUAAUAUAUUUUUUUUGAAUGGUAAAAAAUAUUUAAAUGUUGUUAAUAUUUUUUUUAAUAAAAAAUAAAUAAAUUAUGUGAGGGUUUGUCUGAUAUAAUCCAAUUGGUAUUACUUGUUCAAAAACAACCCAUACAACAUGUGAAAAUAAUAUUUGACUAAAUAAAAUUUCAAGAUGAUAUAUUUUCUUAGUAUUUAAAUAACAAUAUAUUUGAUUGAUCUGAGACAAUCCGGGUUAAUAUGUCAAAUUUCUAACCUAGAUUAUGAGAUUAUAAUAACUCUAUAGAAAACAAAUCAAAAUAUAUAAAUUAUGAAGUUUACAAUACAUGAAUAAUUGUAUUUUCUAUUUUAACUAAAGAGUUUUUUAGAAGAAAUCAAUAGAUCUUGUCAAAAAGUAUAUAUUCUUUUUUCUAAAGAAAUCAAACAUAAUAUAAAAAAUAUAACCAAGGAUCUCCUAUAAAACAAAUAACUAAGAAGAUCCAAUUUAAUAAUUUGUUGAAUUUUAAUGUAAUAUUAGUAUUUUUUGAAUCUGAAUCAUAUGUGGUAUGUAUAGAUUAAAAUAUAGGCAGGAAUAUAAGUUUUAUGAAUUUCUUUGUUUAAAAGAAUCCUCUUUUAAUAGUAGUGAUAAUAGAAAGUAAUAAUAAAAACAAAUUGUGAUUAAAUGAAUAAAAAAUAAUGUAAAACAUUUUUAAAAAAUUAUAUUAAUGUUUCAGCCUGUUUUUGAAUUAUAGAUGGAGUUAAAUUUAUAUAUUAGUAUUGACAUAUGUUUAGUAUUGUAUUAUAUAUAUAAAAAAAUAUUCUUAUUUUUUAAAUGUAGAACUUUUUAACGCAAUAUAUUUUGUAUUUAUUAAUAAAUUCAUUUUAAUACAUGUAAUGAUUUUUUAAAUUUUAAGAGUAUUUUUAUCAUGAUUAUAUAUAUUAAUAAAAAAUAACAUUUUAAAAUUGAGUUCAUAUAAAAAAACAUAGAUUUUCUUACUUAAAGUGAAGAAUCCUCAAUAAAAUUUGAAUUAGAACACAGAUACUAACAAACUAUGCGUUUGUAGUGGCUAAAUUUACUGUGAGAGGUUAAAUUAUGUUGAGAUUGGAGGGGAAGGGUGUGGCUAUUUGUUGCAAAAAAAAAAAUCAUAAGAAAGAAGGAGAAAUAGGGAAGGGGAGAGAAGGGUUGAUCACCAAGUCAUAAAUUAAAUAUUACCAACGGUAUUAUCAAUGUAAUUAUUUUGUUAGUAACUUCAUUGGUCAUUCUAUCGGUAAAAAUAUCAUGUCACCGUACAAUUUGAUUUUUUAAAUCUUACUAUAAUAACCUCUGUAAUUCUCUCAUUAUAUACCGAAUUGUUUUUAUGUUGGCAUAUUUACGGAUGUACUUUACCGUCAGGUUAGCCAUGUCACCAUACAAUUUGUUUUUUUGAAUCCUAUUGUAAUUCUCUUAUUAUAUACCAAGAAAAUUUUUCCGUUGGCAUAUUUACGGAUUUACUUUACCUUCAAGUUAAUUCUGUUGGUAAUGUCGUCUAUAAAAAUUACAAGUCAUCAUACUGUUUAGCUUUUUUUUAUUUUUUAUUUUCCCAAUGCAAUUCUCUCUGUAUAUACCGAGGAAGUUUUUUGUCGGUGUUUACUGAUAGAUACAUGGAUGGAAAAUUCUAUCAGUAUAGGUCAUCACAACAUACCGACAUAAAAAUUAUGUCGGUGUUUUCGUUUGUAUUUGUUAAUUUUCUGAUAGUAAAUCAUAUGUUGGAGCUUCAUCUAAAAAUUUAAAUUAUUGAGUUGAACUGGUUCUUUGACAUGAUAUUAGAGUUUGAAUCUUAUUACCCUCAUUAAUUAUCUCUUCUAAUUAAAAUUAAUUAAUAUAAGUUUUAGGUUUGAAGAAACAGAGUUUUCUUAUUUAUCAAAUCUGAUCAUACAAUCUCUUUAUACAUAAGAAAUAUAAACGUAAACUUGUCAGUUAUAAUAAUUUAAUAAUAGCAUAGCAGCUGUAAGCAUUAUAUGCUGGCAUUCAUUGGUUUUAAACCAUCCGUUACUAAUCAUAAUUACGAUAAUUGCCUAACAUCCCCCCACAAUCUAGACACCGAAUAGGUGACGAGUUUGGAAACAAGACAUUCAAAACGGUCAACUGGUAACCCUUUUGUGAAGACACCUGCAAGUUGAAGUUGAGAAGGGAUGAAAUGAACUUUGUGACUGCCAGAGGCGACCUGUUCACGAACAAAAUUCAACGAAAAUAAUGACAAAAAUACAAAAAUAAUGCAAAAAAAUACAAAAAAAAAAGAAAAAGGAAUGAAAAGUUAUUACUUUAAUGGCGUGCUUAAUUUUGAUUGAUAAUUAAAAAAACAAAAGAGAAAAAGAAAAGAAAAGAGAUUGUUAAUAAACCCAAAAAAAAUGAAGAAAAACAACAUACAUGAGGAUGAGAAAAGAAUGCUUGAUUUAGACGGAGAAGAAGAGAAGAGAAAGAGAUAGAAAUAGCUCUGUGAGAGAAAAAGAGAGAAAUAGAUGAAGCUAUGUCUGUUCUGAUUCUGGUCUUUUAAGUUAAUUUUACAAAUAGAAUUACCGAUAAAAUAUUAAAUAUUUAUAUUAAUGAUUUCGCUUGUAAAGUCGUAUUGAAAUUUAAUGGUCUUGGUAUAUGGACACUUUUUACCAACAGAAUCAUAGGCAGAAAAUUAAAUAUUAAUAUUUUAAUAUUUUCAUCAGUGAUUCCAUCAAUAAAAUCAAAUGUAAAUUUUUAAAUUGCAUAAAAUUUUUCAAAAAGCCCUCCAAAUAUUACCGAGGACUUUUCAUUCUGUUAGUGAUGCUGUUGGAAAACAAAAGUUAAUAGUCAAAAGAACAUUAAGUAUUAGGGUAUUGAGAAGUGAACUGUUCCGUAGUCUCUAGAAUAUACCGAAAGACAUAUUAUGUCAGUAUACCCUUAUAUAAUGAAAACUAUAAAUAGUGUCAGGGAGAAGACGAGCAAUUCACAUGGUCACUGGAAUAUAUCGAUGAACACAUUUCAUCUGUAUACUCGUAUGUAAUAUACAGUAUGUCAUAACCCAAUUUUUAAACAAAUAAUAAAAAAUUAAAUAUAGUUGACAAUGGGGUUAAGACAAUAAAAUUUGAAGUUUGGGGAUGUAAUUUGAGAGUUAAUUGAUCAAUUUUGAAAGAAUUAAAAGUUAAAGAUUUAAUUAAGGGCUAAAUUGAACAAUCUGGAAAUUAAGGACUGUUUUGUAAACAGUGUUAUAAUUCAGGGAUUUAAUUGAAAUUAAUCCAAAAGGGCAAAAUUAAAAGAAUUAAUUAAGGACCAAAUUGAACAAUCCAGGAAUUAAAGACUGUUUUGUAAACAGUGUACCAAUUUAGGGAUUUAAUUGAAAUUAAUCCAAAAGGGGCAAAAUUAAAAGAAAUUUUUAAUUGCUUAGGGGUCCAAUUGCCGAAUUUCCAAAGUUCAGGGGUCAAAAAGAAAAUGUCCAUUGCUGCUGAAACGUUGCCGUUGCUGGUGGAAUCCCUUGCUGCCGAAACGCCGCCGUUGCUGGUGGAACAUAUUUAUCUGUUUUAUAUGUUUUAUAUGUUUUUAUAUGUUUUAUUUCUCAUUUUACCAUAUUUAUCUUGAGUUGUGUAUUGGAUGAUCCUAAGAGAAUUUUCAACACGAGGGAGAUUAAACCUCCUCAUUGUAUAAUUGUAACAUCAAGAAGCCAUAGAUAAUGACUGGUAGAUGACAUAGUCUAUCAGGACUCUCCCUUUUCAAAGACAAGUAGAGUACAAAACAUUAUAGAUUAAUAACACAUUUAUAGUGUGUGGGGGCAAUCUGGUGUUUAUCACGACUCUCCCUUUUGAAAAUCUUUUGUUAUAUAAAGCCACACAAGGAACACCAUGCAUGUCAAGACCAUUAGUAGAUCGAGUUGUUUGAUCAUGGAAUAUCUUGCUGCAACUUCCUUCACAACCCUAUUACGCUUCCCAACUUCACUUCUUGUCUUAGCAAUCAUACUGUUUUACUUCAUCCAAUCCCAUAAGAAUGUCAAGAAACACCCAAUUCCACCCGGUCCAAAACCAUGGCCUAUUGUUGGAUGCCUCCCUACCAUGCUCCGAAACAAGCCAGUGUAUCGUUGGAUACACAAUCUCAUGAAAGAAAUGAACACUGAAAUAGCUUGUAUCCGUUUAGGAAAUGUUCACGUGAUUCCUGUCAUUUGUCCUGAUAUUGCUUGUGAAUUCUUAAAAGCACAAGAUAAUACCUUUGCAUCUAGACCUAAUACCAUGGCCACAGAUCUCAUCUCGAGCGGUUACUUAGCAACAAUUCUCUCUCCCUCUGGAGACCAAUGGAAUAAAAUGAAGAAAGUUCUUAUGACUCACGUACUUUCUCCAAAAAAACAUCAGUGGCUUUAUAGCAAAAGAGUUGAAGAAGCUGAUCACCUUGUUCAUUACGUGUAUAACCAGUGCAAGAAGUCUGUGCAUCAAGGUGGCAUUGUGAAUUUGAGAACUGCUGCCCAGCACUACUGUGCAAAUGUGACUAGGAAGAUGCUGUUCAAUAAGAGGUUUUUUGGGGAGGGAAUGAAAGAUGGUGGACCUGGUUUUGAGGAAGAGGAGUAUGUGGAUGCACUUUUCAGUUGCCUUAAUCAUAUAUAUGCAUUUUGCAUCUCGGAUUUUUUGCCAUCUUUGAUAGGGCUUGACUUAGAUGGGCAUGAGAAGGUGGUGAUGGAGAAUCAUAGGAUCAUCAAUAAAUACCAUGAUCCCAUAAUCCAUGAGAGGGUUCAACAAUGGAAGGAUGGUGCAAAGAAGGAUACGGAGGACUUGCUUGAUAUUUUAAUUACCCUAAAAGAUCGUCAUGGCAAUCCCCUGUUGUCAAAAGAUGAGAUAAAAGCUCAAAUUACAGUAAGAUUUAUAUGCAUUUACAUUUUGAAUUCCACAUGGAAACACAUAUUUAAUGUCUUUAAUUUUAAGUAACUAGCCAGGCACACAAUUGCUUGGAGAAAAAAGACUUAAUUAAUUAUACCAGUGAUGAGCUAGUUAUAGCUUAACUGGCACCGUGUCCUUUCCUUUGAGAGUCUCAAGUUUGCAUCUCUUUCCUUAAAAAAAAAAUUGUAAUAAUCAAGUUUCACUACUGUAUAUCAUAUAUAGUAAUGAUUUUCAAACAUGAUGACACUUGCAGGAAAUAAUGGUUGCAGCAGUGGACAAUCCAUCAAAUGCUUGUGAAUGGGCAUUCGCAGAGAUGCUAAACCAACCUGAGAUACUUGAAAAGGCUACUGAAGAACUGGAUAGAGUGGUUGGAAAGGAGAGACUUGUCCAAGAAUCAGACUUCGCGCAUCUCAAUUACGUGAAGGCAUGUGCUAGAGAAGCAUUCAGGCUUCACCCUGUGGCACCAUUUAACGUUCCUCAUGUGUCGGCCGCCGAUACAACAGUUGCCAACUACUUCAUCCCGAAAGGUUCCUAUGUUCUGCUUAGCCGUCUAGGACUGGGCAGAAACCCUAAAGUAUGGGAUGAGCCGCUCAAGUUCAAGCCAGAGCGCCACCUCAAUGAAAUGGAGAAGGUGGUGCUGACUGAGAAUAAUCUGCGAUUCAUUUCGUUUUCCACUGGAAAACGUGGGUGCAUAGGUGUGUCACUUGGGACUUCAAUGACUACCAUGCUAUUUGCUAGACUUCUUCAAGCGUUUACUUGGAGUUUACCACCUCGUCAAUCCAGCAUCGACCUUACCAUUGCAGAAGACAGCAUGGCUCUUGCAAAACCACUGUGUGCACUUGCAAAACCACGCUUGCCUCCACAAGUGUAUCCUGGAUACUGAAGGGAGUACAAGGACGUCUGCGUAUGCUGCAAAAUAUUAUCAAUAGACGUUGUGCCAGAACAUUAGCAGUUAAUGUAAUAAACUCUGGCAACUUUUAUAUUGUUGAGAAAAGAAACAUAAAGGAUUUGUGUUUAGAAUUCUUCUUUAAAAUUUUUUAAUGGAUUAUGAUAGUUUGAGCUUAUAACCCCUAGUAAAAACAAGAAUAUAAUUUAAGAGUGCUGAAUAUUGUUGCUCCCAUUUUGGGGGGCCCAUAAAACCCAAAAAAAAAAAAAAAAGAAAGAAGAAGAAAGCAAAGAGAAAAUUAAAAAAAAAAAAGUUGGAAGAAAAUCACAAAAAUAUAUUAGUAAGAAGAAUAUACCAGAACGCCCAGGAAAUUACCGAAGAUUGAUUGAGGAAGAUCAAAAUAUACAAGAUUAAAAAAGUUAACAAUGUAUUUUCGACUAAUUAAAGCCCCCUUGGCAAAGGAAGAUUAAAUUUAAGGAGAAAAAGUCAAAUUGGAUGUUUAAGGAUUCAAUUGGAAUUUUUCAAGGUUUAAUUGAAUUUAUUGAGGACUUAAUUGCAAGAAAAAUUGAUUUUUAAGUCAAUUUAAACUUUAAUUGGAAGAAAUUAAAGUCUAGGGGUCGAAUUUUAAUUUUUAAGAGUUAAUUUGGUUCAAUCAGAGGCUUAAUUACAUAAAUAUUAAAGUUUAAUGGGCAAUUAAAGACUUGAUUGAAGAAAUCCAAAACUAAGCACCAAACUGAAAAAAGAUACAUGAAUGUAAAGGUUGGAAUUGAUCAAAUCACGGGUCCAAUUAAAGAAAUUAGAAGUUUGUUGGCCAAUUAAGGGUCGAAAUGCAUAAAUUUAGAACCAAAAACUAAAAUAAAAAUAACGGUCAACUUUGGGGCUGAUAAUUGAGUUUAGAAAUGAUGAAAUUGCAUGAAAUUAAAUAUCUUAAAGCAAUUACCGGUAUAAUUAAAAGCAAUUAAAAAAAAAAAUACUCAAUCAAAAUUUUUCAAAUCCUGAAUUAAAAACUCUAAAUGGCAUGUCGUGCAGACUUUCUUGAAUAUUUUGAUAAACGAUUAAAAAAAAUAAUUUUAUAAAUAGUAAUUAACAAGUACUGGUGUUUUAUUCGAAAACAUUUAGCAUUGCUCUUAAUUUCCGGAAAGCAUGAAUUUAUCUCAUAAAAUAGCCAAAUUGCUAAUUAACAGCUUGUGUUCGAUGAAUACGAUCAUCCAAAUUCUUCUCCUCGUAGUUAUAUUAACUGCCAAGUUAUAAACUAAAACAUUCCAAGUAGCAGCAGCAAGCAUACAUUGGAAUCUCAAAAAAUUAAAGAUAUGAAUAAUUACUAUAAUUAAUAAACUUUCUGUAACUAAUUAAAGACUGGAGAUCAUGAUCAGAGGAUGAAAGAAGACAAAUAUGAUGCCGGAUCGACUAAUUAAUUACUACUGACAUGAUUUUGUGGUGUGGUCAAUAUUUUUGUUUCACUACUUGGGAUGGUAGAAUCAAUGCUGGCUUGACUAAUUAAUUAAUUAAUUAAUUAAUGCAUGGUGAUUAAGAUAAACACUGUUAUAUAUAUAUAUAUAUAUAUAUAUAUAAUUAAUGGAUUCUACUUAGUUUAAUUAAAUUUAUAUUAUUUUAUUAUAUGAUAAAACAAAAUAUGAAAAUUCAUUCAAAAUUAAUCUAAUAUUGAAUGAUAAAAUUUAAAAAAAUAAUAAAAAAUCCAAUAUUAAAUGAUAUAAUUAAAAAAAAACAAAAAACAAAAAAAAUAUAAAAGGCAAAAAAAAAAAAAAGAGGUCGGUUGCACAGGCCUAAGGCAAACACAACAUGCCUAGGCCAUGUAUUUUUUUCUUUUUAAAAAUGACGAAUAACAUGCCAUCCACCCCUAUUUUUUUUUUUAAAAUAAUAGCAAAUAACAUCACGAGAUCUAACUAUUACUAUGGUGGCUAAAAAGAAUAACUUUUUGUAUAUUGUGGGACCCACAAAAUAAAAAACAAGAAAAACUUAUUCUUUAUGGUAGAUUUUUGUAUUUAAUUGUAUAUUAUAAAAAAAAAACAAUCACACCCCACCACCCCUCUAUACUAAUUGUUUUAAUUUUAUAAUAGCAUCUUAAAAGUGUUUUUUUUUAAAUUUAAUUUUUUUUGUUUUAAAUUAAAAAUUUUUGGUGUUUUCAGAUCAUUUUGAUACGCUAAAAUAUUAUUUUAAUAUUUCCAAGUAAAAAACACUUUAAAAAACAAUUGUAAUUAUAACCGAACUCUCAAAUACCCUUCUAAUAGCACGUGAUACAUAUUGAUCAGCAGGAAAAGAUCAAACAUGCAUCUAUGUGGCCAAGAUUAAUGGAGUCGGUGUGACCAUUGGUUAUAGACGUACAAAAGGGGCAAACGUUUUCCACAACAAAACUAUUCAACUGGGUUUAAUUAUUUCCAUGUCUGAUGAUACACUUAUCACUGUCCACAUAUCUCCUACUUCUGUGCUUCAAGUAAUCUUCGGAUUAUGCCGUCCAUAGCAUGGCAUUCACAGAGAUACAAACCAUAUUCGUUGGAAUUUAACUUUAGGAGACAAGGAGGAUCUAUAUAUAUAUUUCUUGCCAACAACACAAUAUUUUAAACUCUUUAAAAAUUCAAUUCUGCAGGAUAGAUAUGCAAGUAUUGACUAUUACAUAAAGUUUAACUGGUUAUGAAAUCUCAUAAAGGAGGAUGGGAGAAUUGAGAUUAUCUAUUAUAAAAGUGAAAAACAAGUCUAUUCUUUUAAAUUAAUUAGAAUUAUUUUUUAAACUAAAAAAUUAUUUGGAUUAUGAUAGAUUUAGCUUGUAAUCCUCUGGAUUAAAAAAGAGAAGCUGAAAAUUAUUUGUUUGUUUAGUUUUCAGCUAUUUCUGCGUCAAUCAACAAGUGAUUUUGCGUGCAAUAAAUGGCCGAAAAGGAGGUUCAUCUUUAUCAAGUACUAGGCUAAUAAAUUGGAGGGGUAUUUGAUCAAAUAAAUGGUUGUUAAACAUUUAAACACAAACAAUAAUUUUAAUUGAAUAUUUUCAUUUGAUAAAAAAAAGGUAACCGACUUCGAUAAUUAUAUUGAUUUUUUAUACUAAAAUUCAACAAAAUAAUGCAAAACUUAUUAAAUUAAACAACUAAAAUUCAACAAAAUUAUUUCUUUAAUCCUAAAUUUUAAAAAAAUUUAUUGUAAAUGGAAUAAAUAUAAAAUAAUAAUUAAAACUAAUUCUACAUAUUUAAUUGAAAUUGAACAAAACAUUUGAAAAAUAAACUAAAAUUCAACAAAAUAAUACAAAAACUAUUUCAAUAAUAACUAAGAUUCAACACAUUUAUUAAUUCAUAAAAUUAUUAAGACGAAAUUCAACGAAAAUAAUGACAAAAAUACAAAAAUAAUGCAAAAAAAUACAAAAAAGAAAGAAAAAGGAAUGAAAAGUUAUUACUUUAAUGGCGUGCUUAAUUUUGAUUGAUAAUUAAAAAAACAAAAAAGAAAAAGAAAAGAAAAGAGAUUGUUAAUAAACCAAAAACAAAUAAAGAAAGACAACAUACAUGAGGAUGAGAAGAGAAAAGAAUGCUUGAUUUAGACUGAGAAGAAGAGAGAGAAGAGAAGAGAAAGAGAUAGAAACAGCUCAGUGAGAGAAGAAGAGAGAAAAGGAUGAAACUUCAUCUGUUCUGAUUCUGGUCUUUUAAGUUAAUUUUACCAACAGAAUUACCGAUAAAAUAUUAAAUAUUUAUGUUUUUAAUAUUUAUAUUAGUGAUUUCGUUUGUAAAGUCGUAUUGAAAUUUAAUGGUCUUGGGUAUCUGGGCACUUUUUACCAACAGAAUCAUAGACAGAAAAUUAAAUAUUAAUAUUUUAAUAUUUUUAUUAGUGAUUCCGUCAAUAAAAUCAAAUGAAAAUUUUUAACUUGCAUAAAAUUUUUCAAAAAGCCCUCCAAAUAUUAUCGAUGACUUUUCAUUAUGUUAGUGAUGCUGUUGGAAAAAAAAGAGUUAAUAGUCAAAAGAACAUUAGUUAUUAGGGUAUUGAGAAGUGAACUGUUCUCAUAGUCUCUAGAAUAUACCGAAAGACAUAUUAUGUCGGUAUACCUGUAUGUAAUGAAAACCAUAAAUAGUGUCAGGAAGAAGAUGAACAAUUCACAUUGUCGGUAUAUCUAUAUACUCAUAUGUAAUGUACAAUCUAUUGGUAUUUUUAUCACUAUAAAACAAUUUCUAAUGCCGAAUUGUAUUUGUACUCUCUAUCUAUCUAUCUAUCCAACAAAUACUUCAAUUCACAACUGCACACACAACACAAUAACACCAGUUCAUAUCACAGUAAUAAAAUAAAUAUUUCCUUAUGAUUCAAUAAUAAAUUAACUUCAUUGUCAUUAUAUUGAACUGAAUUUUAUCCAAAUAUUACAUUAUAGUUUAUGGCAUUACACAUUCAUCAAUUGACUCGUCUUCAUCUCCAUCGCAAUCUUCUACGUUGAUUUCAUCGUUAUCAUUAUUCAACUCCUUGGUGUCAACAUCAACAAAAAUAUUCUUGGCGAUGCUAAAAUUUAAAUUUUCUUCUAAGUCAUUAGACGAAGCAACUCGAUAUGGAUUAACUAACUCACCAAGUUGAAAGAUCUCAUCUCUCACAGUUAAUUCAUCGGUACCAUUAUGAACAACCUCGACAUGACCCCUAAGUUUGGUUUUCACUACGGAUAACCAAUCAACUCUGGAACGAUCCUUUCUAAAGGAAUGGGUGUAUAUAUAAUAAACUUACUAGCAUUGCUUGGCGAAAAUAAAAACAUCAUCGACGUUGCGAAGUCUAGCUUUUGAAUUAAUUUCGACCAAACCAUGAUGAGGAUAUAUUUUGAUUUCUUUGUCAAUGGUAUCAUACCAAUAACAUUUGAAUAAAAUUUUUUUAUCCUUUUUGCUAUGAUAUUACAAUUCAAUGACCUUUUACAACUUUCCAUAGUAGUCAACUUCAAAUUCAUUAGAAGUUGAUCCUUUAACACAAAUUCCAUUGUUAUAUGUCUUUCUACCCUGCCCAUAUUCUUCAGUAUGAAACACAUGUCCAUUAAAAAAAUACUUGUUGUAGCACUUCACAUUUCUUUUAGGACCCAAACUUAAUAAAGACAAAGUAGCACUAACAUUCCCUCUUAAUUAAUAAACCCGGUACAUGAAAUACAAUCAUGAACAAUUAAUGAGAAAUGUAUAAUGAAAUUAUGUAUCCUAAGAGAUAAGAAUAAUUAAAAAGUACUUACAUGUGUUCUGAACCACGUGGAAAAUUGUUCAUUUUAUAAUCGAAAAAUUUGGGAUUUAGUCAGCUGUGAGUUUUAGAACAGUAAAUAUUGAUGAUGUUGCCUAUAAGAAAUUCAACAAUGUAUCAGUUUAUAAUAUUAUAAAAGAUAAAUUGUUAAAAAAUAAUAACAUAUUAAGUAGUAUACUUACAGAAUAAAAAGUCUUAGUUCAUCAUAAUAAUGUGCUUGUUUGAAUUCUAUUACACUAAUGAAGCCUCUAAUUCAAAUCAAUCAAUCCCAAUGAAAAAAAAUAAAUUUCUACCCCCCCAACAUGUGGUUUACAUGCAUUCUGUUGCACGUCCCCCGCGCGGUGUCCGAUGGCUAUUUUUUGUUUGAUUUCGGGUUUAUUUGUUUUUGUGAAUAAAGGAGUCACCACCUAGUAUUUCGAUCCCUAGGAAACCUGACUGGUCUUUCAGAGAUUAUAAGGCAAGGGACUGGUUGCGCAAAGGGAAGGUAUUAGCACCCCUGGUACGCCCUACCUAAGGUAAGCUACUUGGUGUUUGGUUUGCUUUAUAAUUGCUAUGGUGUUGGUGUUUUUCUAAAAUAGGUUUCCUAUAAUAGGUUUGCUAUGAUGAAUGAAUUUGGGUUCAAAGUCUAAAAGCAAGAACCCUUGGUCAAUGUGGAUCACACCCUUAGAUAUGUCUACAAAGUACCAAGGAGAACCAAUGCAGAUCUCUUGAAAUCUGUGUUUGAUUCAGAUUAAAUUUAUUAAGAUAGCAAUCCAAGGAGAUUCCAUGUGCUUUAAAAGCUCAUUUUUCCCUUCUUAUUUCAAAAGUUUGCGACUCAUAAAUCACAAGGAGGAGGGACAAAUUUUUUUUAGAAAUCUAAGGAAAUUCAGGGCGCUUUAAAAGCCUAUUUUUUUCUUAGUGUUUCAUACUCUCACGGCUCGUAAACCGUGGAGUAAAAAAUUGAAAUGUCCUCGAUUAUAAUCAAGGCUUCUUUCAAGGAUGUGUGAUGACUUAUUAUUCCUAGAAAAUUAUUUUGGAUAUUUACCACUAAGAGCUUCUUUAUCCAAAUAUUAACAGCGAAUAAUAACAAGUUAUUCCCAAUAAUAUUUUGGAUAUUCAUCCCUUUGGGAUUUCUUUAUCCAAACAUUAAUGGUGAAUUAUAGAUGAUUUCUCCCCAAAAUAAGAUUUUUAUAUUUUUUUUGGAAUAUUGGCCAACACCCUUUGGAGUUUUACAAACAUGUUGUAAAAUCCAGAAAUGUAAGAAAAUAAUUUUUUGUUGUGUUUAAGAAAUCCAUGCGAAAACACAUUUUCUUUUAAACUUCAAAUAUUUGUUUUUUUAAGAGGAAAUUCAAAAUAUGUUAGGGUAUUGGCCGUAUACAACACAUAAAAAUAUUUUUUUAUAUUUUUUAUCGAAAAAACACAAGCAUCACAGUUAAUCGCAAUUAAAGACAACAAAACCCAACCCGGUUACUGGCUUAAACCAGUAACCGGUUCUACCACAGUUGCAUGCAUAUGCAUGCUACAGUGGCAGGGUAAUUAAUUUGGUAAAGACAAGGAAAGAAAGACUUACGUGCGAGGCAGCGGCUGGAGGCGAAGUGGGAGACGACUAGUUGCUGCCCAUGUCUCAUUUUCCCCCACGGUUGUAGCCGGUGCAAGACGACUGGGCUGUUGAGAAGCGCCAGUGAAGAGAUUAUUGUGCUGGCGAAGAAGAAGUUGCAUCGUUGGUCUAACUGGUGUGAACGCCGCUGGUGCAGAUGGAGGAGGUGUUGUUAUUGCUUUCCAGAGCUCACAGUGCCUAUGGAAGAAAGGGUUGCACCGCUGGAGGAGAAGAAACUGGAGACAGAAACGAAGGGACGAAGGCGAUGGGGAAGGCAUGCUGGUUGGUCUCUCGGUGUUUUCGUCUAUUUAUGUUGUUUCCUUCUGCUCGUCCAUGUCUUGCUCUUGUGUUCGUCAUGUCUCUACUGAGAGGACAUGGUUGCUGCUGCUGUGGGGCUCGAUGGAGGCCGGUCUGGGGCUACGUUGACAAAGAGGGCUGCUUCGGGUGCAGGGGAAGAAACGGGUUGUUGUGGUCCAAAGGCAAAAUAAAAAUGAGGGCUGAGCUAGGAGGUCAGGAGAGAACGAUGAUGGGUAAGAAGAAAGGUGAGUGGCGGCUUUUUAGGGGGUUAUGGGAAUGGCGAGGCUGUGUAGCAGGGGAGAAUGGAAGGUCUGUGGAAAUGGGGGGAAGGCGGCGGCUUCUGUGUAUUUGUGUGGUUUUUCUGGUUUGCUUUGCCAAGGCCAAAAAGGGGGGAAGGAGGCGGCUUGUUUUUUUUUUUUUUUUUUAAGAGAGGAGGGGUUGCGGCUCCGGGAAGAGAAACGGGUUUAGGUUUUUUUUAUUUUUAAGGUCUUUUGUGUUUGGCUCCCUUUUUUCUGAAAAAUUGCCCCUCCUUGAAUAUUUUUCUCCCCCCUUUUUUAUUAUGGCCGAAAGUUCACUUAUAUAGAAAAUCUCUACAUGUGUUAUUCAAGAAAAUAUUGCAAUAAUUAUUGCAGAGAUUGUCUUCUAUAACCAGCACCAACAAAUCCUAUAUAUAUGAUAUUUUAUAUUGUAGUGAUUAUAUAUGAUUCAGUAAUUAUCUCCUUGACAUAUUGCUUCUUUAAUAUUAGUCUUUAUGCUCUAUGUUAUCGCUACAUGUAAACCCUUAUUUUUUUAUUUUAUUUUUUUAUUUUUAUUUUUUUUAAAAUUUAUCAAAACAUGAAUCAAAAAUUGGGUAGCAACACAUUCUAUCAUGUGGUUUGCAUGCAUUCUAUCUUUUCGAAAAUCAGAUUCAAGAUUAUUGCCAAACACUGUAUAAGGUUCAAUCUUAUUUAUAAUUCCACUCAAUCAAAAGUUUUGAUCAUGGCCAUCUAUAAGCUAACUUUUCUUAACAGGGUUCCACAUUUUACAUGCAUUUGGAUUGUGACUGCUUUUUUGCCCUUAUAAGAUUACAUUUCAAACAGGGAAGCUAGCCGCCUGCGUUUAAAUUUUCAUGAACCACUGCAUAUUGAUAGUCUGCUUCUCUCUCUCUCUCUCUCUCUCUCUCUCUCUCUCUCUCUCUCUAUAUAUAUAUAUAUAUAUAUAUAUAUAUAUAUAUAUAUAUAUAUCAAAUGCUCACUGUUUUGAAAAUUUAGAAAUAAUUCAAAACACAAAAAAACAUCAAUCAUUGAAAUUUUGAAAAAGUUUUUAUGAAAUUAAAAACAUUUAAACUGGAAAAUUUCGAAAUUGCUCUUUGUUUUAUGGCUCAAGCCAAGGCAUUAAGGAAGCCUAAACAAAAAAUUCAAAAUUUCUCUCCAAGCUUUAAUUUUUUGGAAAAUAUGAUCGUGGGGAUGGAUAUUUCAUUAUUUUAGACUAUAUUAUUUUUAUUUAAUCGUUAAGAUUUUCUCAAAAAAAAUUAAUUUUAUUUAAAUAGAAAAGAGACUUAUUAGAAUAUUCGGUAUAUUAGGAUUUUAUUUUUAGUCGAUUAAGUUUUUCGACUUAAGGAUAUAAAAGAUUUUCAAUUUGAAAUAUAUUCUUCUAUAUUCGGAAAUCUAGGGAAUACUUAUAUUAAAUUGUUAAAGCAUUGAUGUAAUUAUAUAGACAGCAUAUAUAUGAAAAAUAGAGAAAAUGAAUUUUUUAUUUUGAAAAAAAUAAAGUGUCGAAAGUUUUUUAAUUGUGUUUUAAAAGAAAAAUAAUAAAUCAUAGAGAGGGAGAGAGAAGAGAAAAUAAGUAUGGAAACAAAAACAUACGAGUAAAAUCUCUUCGUAAAAACAAAAAAACAAUUGUGUUUUGAAUUAUUUCUAAAUUUUCAAAACAGUGAGCAUUUGAGAUAUAUAUAUAUAUAUAUAUAUAUAUAUAUAUAUAUAUAUAUAUAUAUAUAGAGAGAGAGAGAGAGAGAGAGAGAGAGAGAGAGAGAGAAGCAGACUAUCAAUAUGCAGUGGUUCAUGAAAAUUUGAACGUAGGCGGCUAGCUUCCCUGUUUGAAAUGUAAUCUUAUAAGGGCAAAUAUCUUAAGGAUAAAUAAGUCAUGUUGUAUUUUUUAUAAAGAUGCAAGAACAUGUUUUUGUAUAUAUUUUGAGAUUUAAUAACUGGUUUAUUAAAUUUUUAAGAAUUUGGUUAAUAUUUCAAAUUUUUAUAUCACAUCAAAACCAUGAAGCAGCUUAUCUUAGGUAGGGUGCGCUAGGGGUGCUAAUAUAUUCUCUAGCCAUAACCAGUCAUUUACCCUCGAAUCUCUAGUAAAGACCAGUACACCCGAGUUUCCUAGUAGCCCUGAAUCAAAUACUAGGUGGCGACUCCCAAGACCCCACAUCAAGCAAAUAAACGAAAAUCAUCAUCAACGUCGCGUCGGGGACGUGCGACAGAAUGGAUACUUCGCUGGGGAAGGUAUCAUUUUUGACAUUAUUGGACCUAAGCUUUGUGUCUUUGACAAGUUGCGUCCUUAAUUACCUCAGCAGGAGCCAUUGUCAUUUAAGGACGCCAACAGGUAUGUGACUUGGCACACUGCCAUGCAGGAGGAACUUCGGGCACUUCACUCUAAUCAGACUUGGUCGUUGGUGCCCCCCCCCCCCCACCCCAUCCGUCUAUGAAUGUGAUUGGAAGUAGAUGGGUUUGCAAGAUUAAAAGACAUGCUGAUGGUCAGGUCACCCAAUAUAAAGCACGGUUGGUUGCUCGCAGCUUCACUCAGCAAGAGGAGAUUGAUUAUUUGGAGAUGUUCAGUCCAGUGAUUAAGCCUAUAACGGUUCGCCUUGUGCUCACUAUUGCUGUCUCAUAUGGUUGGAACAUUCAUCAGUUGGAUGUUCAUAAUGCUUUCCUGAAUGGUAUUCUUCAGGAAGAGGUAUACAUGGCGCAACCGCCUGGGUUUGUUGAUCCUGCACUCCCGUCUCAUGUGUGUCGUCUUCAUAAAUCUUUGUAUGGCUUGAAACAAGCCUCUCGUGCUUGGUACAACCGGUUGAGUGAGUUUUUACUAUCCAUUGGAUUUCAGACAUCCAAUGGUGAUACUUCCCUCACUACCAGAAAUUCGCUAAAUACCAACGGAUUUACAGACGGAAUAUUUCUGUUGGUAAUUUGAGGUCGAAAUUACCGACGGAUACUUUUCCGUCUGUAAUUCAGUCGGUAACUACCGACGGACCAUUUUUCGUCCGUAAUUCAGUCGGUAACUACCGACGGAAAUUUUUCGUCGGUAGUUACCGACUGAAUUACGAACAGAAAAGUUUCCGAAUUAAAAAAAAAGACGGGUCGCUGACGUGGAGGUUUUGGCGGGUUAUUUUGUUCCGACGGAUUCAAAACGACAGCCCGUACAGCGACGUGACUGGUUCGCCGUUUAAAUUGCCGACGGACUCAUCGAGGGAUUUGAAAUGGCAGAUCCGUGGGGUGACGUGUCUAUGUGUCCGUCAGAAUCACCGACGGAGUGUCCGUCAGUGAAACCGUCGGAAAAAGAUAAUAUAUGUACAUGUCAGCUCUGCUGACCCUCUCCUCCCCUAUUUCUCCUUCUUCUUCCUAAUCCCAACUCCCCCCCCAAAAAAAAAUAUUCCUUAUAUCAGCACAACAAGUUAUAUUUCUUGAAGUUUUGUGGUCACAGCAUCCGUGUUCUGAUUUACCGACGGAUUUUAUCAAUUUUUGUAAGUAAUUCUAUCUUUUUAAAUUUUGACAUUUAAUUAAAUGUCAAUUUUAUUGUUUUUUUAGUAUAUGUAUUUUGUUAGUAUAUGAAUUACAUGUGCUAUUUUGAAAUAAUUAAUAGCUUGCUUAAUGGGUCCGUUUAAAGUUUUAUCAAUGGUAUUGCGGAGUGAUAAUUUCUGUAAAUUUAUAUAUUUUAAUUCGUAUGGACGUUGAUAAAUAAUAAUGAAUAUUUAAUAUUUAUGAGAAGUUGUGAUUGGUUUGUUGGAUAAUCUCGAGGUAAAGUAAUAGUUUUGCAAGUUUAUUUACCUAACUUAGUUAAUUAAUACAUGAUGUCAUCAUAAUUUUAUAGAGGUUCGAUAUAAGUCAUGGAUGAUCGUUCAUGGAUGUAUCAAGAUUCACCCCAAGGAUUGCGGAGGAUAGAUUAUUGUAACGGGGUUCAGGGUUUUAUUAAUUUCGCAACAUCUAUUCCCAGAAAUUUUACUGGAGGCGGUAUUAGGUGUCCAUGCAGGAAGUGUGAAAAUAAAAAGUAUCUGCAUCCAGAUGUUGUAAUGAUGCAUCUUCUACACAAAGGGUUUAUGGAGAAUUACUAGUGUUGGUAUGCACAUGGAGAAGUAUUUGGUAGUAAGAGGAGAAUUGAAGAAACGGUGGUUGGGUCUACUUCUAGUGCUAGCAACGUGCAUGAAGCGGCAAAUGACAACACUAAUCCUUACAGAAAUAUGGUUAUGGAUGCAAUGAGAAUGAAUCAAGGUAAUGGCAGUCAAUGUCCAAUCGUAGAAGAAGAACCUAAUGCAGAUGCAACUAGGUUUUUUGAUUUGUUGAAAGAUUAUGACGAACCAUUAUGGGAUGUCUGCACGAACCACAGUAAAUUAUCGGCCGUAGCACAAGUGUUCACCAUUUAGUCAGAUCACGGGUUGAGUGAGGCCGGGUAUGACAAGAUUAUUGAAUGGGCGAGAAGCAUUUUACCUGAAGGGAACAGGCUGAAAGAGAACUUCUAUGCUGCGAAGUCCAUGAUGAAACCCCUCGGUUUAGGAUACCAAAAAAUUGACAUGUGCCCUAACUUCUGCAUGUUAUACUACCUUGAAAAUGCUGAGAUGACUGAGUGCAUGACAUGCGGGCAUUCCCGUUACAAACCUAGAACUGGCAGGGAAAAGACUCUAGUGGCAUAUAAAAAACUUAGAUACUUCUCGAUCACACCUAGACUGCAAAGGUUAUUCAUGUCACCAAGGACUGUUGAGCACAUGACAUGGCACCAAGCACACCAUGCGGUUGAUGGAGUGAUGGUUCAUCCUUCUGACGGCGAAGCGUGGAAACGCUUUAACAGUGUUCAUCCUCACUUUUCAGCUGAAUCAAGGAAUGUGCGUCUUGGGUUGUGUACAGACGGAUUCAACCCAUUUGGGUCAUUUGCUGCUCCUUAUUCUUGUUGGCCGGUCAUACUCACAGUUUAUAACUUGCCACCGGGAAUGUGUAUGAGGUCGGAGUUCAUGUUUUUAUCUACUGUCAUACCCGGUCCAAGAAGCCCGGGGCGGAAUAUAGAUGUUUGUCUUCGACCGUUAAUUGAUGAGUUGGCGCAGUUGUGGUCCUCCGGAGCUCUGACUUAUGAUAUAUCGAGGAAACAAAAUUUCCUUAUGAGGGCGGCAUUGAUGUGGACUAUCAAUGAUUUUCUAGCUUAUGGAAUGCUUUCUGGUUGGAGCACGCAUGGGAAACUCGCAUGUCCAUACUGCAUGGAAAACAACAAGGCAUUCACGCUAGCAAAUGGAGGUAAAGCUUCUUUUUUUUACUGUCACCGUCGCUUCUUGCCACUUCAUCACAGGUACAGAAAGAACAGAAAAGAUUUCUUUGUUGGCAGAGUUGAAAAAGAUGUUGCAUCCCCGCGUCUUUCUGGUGAAGAAUUGCAUGAUGUUGUCUCAGAGUACGGUGACAUUGUGUUUGGCCUUCAAUCAGGUAAGCAAAAGUUUCCUGGUUUUGGUUUGACCCAUAAUUGGGUAAAGCGAAGUAUCUUUUUGGAGCUUCCUUAUUGGAAGACCAAUCUGCUCCGCCAUAACCUUGACGUCAUGCACAUCGAAAAGAACAUGUUUGAGAACAUUUUCAACACCGUCAUGGAUGUGAAGGGGAAGACAAAGGACAACAUCAAGGCUAGAUUGGAUAUAGCUUUAUACUGUAACUGUAAAAAUAUAGAGUUGGUUUAUGAUGAGUCACGGGUCGCAAAACCAAGAGCAAGCUUCGUGUUAGAGAAAAACGCACAACUGCUAGUCUACAAAUGGCUUAAGAGUCUGCGUUUUCCGGAUGGACAUGCAUCGAACAUAUCAAAGCUGGUUAAUAUAGAGGACUGCAGAUUGUAUGGAAUGAAGAGUCAUGACUGCCACGUGUUUAUGCAAACACUCAUCCCAUUAGUUUUUCGUGAUUUGUUGCCAAAGGGAAUAUGGGAUGCACUCACGGAGAUCAGUCAUUUCUUCAGAGAUAUAUGCUCCAGCAAGUUGAAUGUUGAUCACAUUGAGAGGCUUCAAACGAAUAUCGUCGAGACACUAUGCAAACUUGACAUGAUAUUCCCUCCAUCAUUUUUUGACUCAAUGGAGCAUCUCCCUAUACAUCUACCGUUCGAGGCAAAAGCUGGAGGACCGGUCCAAUAUAGAUGGAUGUACCCAUUCGAAUGGUUAGAUAUUACCGUUGCAAUGCAAUUCAUAUAUAAAAGUAUUUUAUAUAUUUUUCUUAAUUGAAAAUACUUGAUUAAUAUUUCAAUGCAUGUACUUAUUUAAUCUCAAGAAAAAGGUUAAGAACAAGGCGCAUGUUGAGGCUUCGAUAUGUGAGGCCUAUAUUGUUGAGGAGAUCUCAACAUUUAUCUCGUACUAUUUCGAACCUCAUCUGAGAACGAGAAUCAAUCGCGUUCCACGGCAUGAUGAUGGCGGUGAAGUGCCUUCCAGUGGGAACUUGUCAAUAUUCUUCAAUACUGGACGACCCACACCUAAAAAUGUCGUAAGAGGAAGAUAUUUGACAAAAAUAGAGUUCAAACAAGCACACAACUAUGUUUUAUUUAACUGUGAUGAGCUGAGACCUUUUAUUCAGUAAGUUUAUACUAAUUAAACUUUUUUAGUAAUAUACUGUUAAUUAUAUAUUGUAAUAUCAUACACUCAUUAUCACUUGCAGACAACAUCGUCAAUAUUUGCUCUCCAAUAACUCACAGCUGGCCGAAUCCCAGAUCUUUCAAUUACAAGGUGAGCAGUUUGCCACGUGGUUCAGAACACAUGUAAGCACUAUCACAAACUCAUUCUAACUUGCAAAAUUACUGUACGUAUGCAUGUCAUUACGAGAUUCUCGUGCAUUUACUGUUUAUUGAUGUACAUUACAUACAAGGUUUAUCAAAUGGGAAGGAGUGCACCUAAGUCAUUGUCUUCACUAAGCCUGGGGCCUGAAAGAAAAUGUAAGUGCUACAACGGGUAUUUUGUCAAUGGAUAUGUUUUCCAUACUGAAGAAUAUGGGCAAGGAAGAAAGACAUACAACAGCGGUGUUUGUGUUAAGGGAUCCACUAGUAGUGAGUUAGAAGUUGACUACUAUGGUAGAUUAGAAGAGGUCGUCGAACUGCAAUAUCAUAACGAGCAGAAUAUAGUGUUUUUAUUCAAAUGUUAUUGGUAUGACACGACUGACAGAGGAAUCAGAGUUGAUCCGCACUAUGGUCUGGUCGAAAUCAACUUAAAAGCUAGACUCCGCAACAUAAACGAUGUCUUUGUUUUCACAAAGCAAUGUCAACAAGUUUAUUACACAUACACCCCUUCAUUUAGAAAGGAUCGAUCAAGAGUGGAUUGGUUGUCCGUUUUAAAAACGAAACCCCGGGGUCGUGUCGAGUUUGUUCAGGAUGAGAACGAAGACACAAGUCUGCGAGAUGAAGUCUUUCAAGUUAGUGAGGUGGUUGAACCAUAUCGAGUUGCUCCUUCAAUUGAAUUGGAAGAAAAUUCAAAUUUUUGUGUUUUCGAUGAUAGUCUUGUUGAUGUUGACGCAGAGGAGUUGAAUUUUGUUUUGAGCUCUAGCAGACAAGCAAAUGUCGAUGAAGAAGAUGAUAUUCAUAUUGAAGAUUGCGAUGAAGGUGAUGACAAUUCAAUUGAUGACGAAGAAGAAGAAAAUUCUGACUAACUACCAAAAUGAAGCCCUAUGUAAAACCCUUUUUUUCAUGUAAUUUAGAUUAUGGAUGAUAUAUUUUGAAACACAAAAUAUUUAUUACUUGAAAUAAUUAGUUGAAAUGCCACAAUUACGAAAUAAUUACUUGAAAUAAUUAUUGAUCAUGGAUGAUAUAUUUUGUGAUUCGAAAAUAAUUACUGGAAAUGCCACCAGGGCACCGACGGCCUUAAGUCCGUCGGCAUUUCACAGAGAGUUCGAAAAUAAUUACUGGAAAUGCCACCAGGUCACCGACGGCCACACCGACGGCCUUAAGUCCGUCGGCAUUUCAUAGAGAGUUCGAAAAUAAUUACUGGAAAUGCCACCAAGGCACCGACGGCCUUAAGUCUGUCGGCAUUUCACAGAGUUCGAAAAUAAUUACUGGAAAUGCCACCAGGUGACCGACGGCCUUAAGUCCGUCGGUACGUUGUCAAUUGUACCGACAAAAUUCCCGACGGACCGCGCGAAUAUCAAAGGGUUGUGCAUUAAAUGCAUCUAUGACCGCGUCAGUUUACCGACGGACUGCGAAAAAUAUGGAGGGCAACUAAAAAUUUUGGUGCGAAAUUCAAAAUUUACCGACGGAUUUUUAACACCUCACCGACGAAAUAAAUUAAAAUAAUAAUUAAUUUUAUAUCCGUCGGUAAAAUUGGCUUUUAACCUCCCCCGACCGCCUCUCCAGUUCAUUUUCUCUUCUCCUUAGUUUUUCACCAUUCUUUUCCUCUCCGUUCUUCAGGCGAUCUCAAGCUUUUUUUAUCGUGAAUCUCCAUCAGUUUAAAAGGUUAGUGUUUCCUCUAUUUCAUUUUACUUUAAUGGUUUUUUUUUGUUAUUUUUUUUGUUUUGGUAUAUUUUUUGUAAUGUAGAUAAAGUCUAUAGUUUUUUUUGCAUAAUUCAUUGCUAAAGUCUAUAGUUUUUUUUUAAUUUAUUGAAUAUUUUUUAUUGUUGUAUUGGCAUAAUUAUUAUUAGUUAAUUUGUUGAAUAUUUAUUGUUAAUGUUGAAUUUACCAUAGAAUUAGUAAUUGAAUAUGUUGGAAUAAUUAUUAAUUUUACUUUAUUAUUGCAUGAUUUGUGUUUAAUUUUUUCCAUUUAUUUUGAUUGUUAUUCUAGAGUUUUUUUUUAUUUAUUGUUUUGUUGUAUUGGCAUAAUUAUUGAAUAAUUUGUUGAAUUGUAAUUCUUAAUGUUGAAUUUACUUUAGAAUUAGUAAUUGAAUAUGUUGGAAUAAUUAUUAGUUUUACUCUAUUAUUGCAUGCUUUGUGUUUAAUUUUUUCCAUUUAUUUUGAUUGUUAUUCUAAAGUUUUUUUUAAUUUAUUGUUUUGUUGUAUUGGCAUAAUUAUUGAAUAAUUACUUGAAUUGUAAUUCUUAAUGUUGAAUUUACCUUAGGAUUAGUAAUUGAAUAUGUUGGAAUAAUUAGUAUAGAUUGGGUAAAUUGGUUGUGGCUAUUGUUAAUAUGUGCAGGCUUGUGGAUUUGGGUAGUAUCCGGUAUAGGGGAGGUGCUGUCGAAUUUUUUUUUUACAUUUGAAUUUAAUUAUAUAAUUAUUUGUAUCAAAUUGUGUAGAUGCGUAGAACGAAAACCAGAGCUGGUCGCUCAAGUACGGUCGCAGCUAGUUCGUCUAGCAGCGAUGAUGAUAUUUCCUUAGGUGCCUCUCAAGAAGAGGCACCUACACCACCUGCGCUGUCAACCGAUGCUACCUCUUCCAGCGGUACUUCACAGUGCAAAGGCGGCGUGCCUUCGCAGCGGAAUCAAUUUACCUGCAAGUACGAGGCACAGUGGAAGGACGACCUUUCAAUGUAAGUUUGUUAAGGUUUUAGUUUUUUAAAAAAAAUUACAACAUAAUUUAUGAAGUAAUCACUAUUGAAUUUAUUUCCUUUAUUUUUAGGUUCACAAACAUUGAAGCCGCCCGAGUAAUAUCAUCGGCGUUUAAAUCGUCGAUGGAGAUUCUAUUGUUUUAAUGCAGUCAGAUAUCCAAGCAACCUGAAUGGAUGCCUCAAAUCAAUGCAUGGUUUAACAGGUUUGAGGUUGGUAUUAAUUUAUAAUUUUCAGCUUAUUAAUAUAAUUGUAAAUAAAUUAUUAUUUUUAUUUAAGCUUGUUUAUUUAUACACAGCACAAAUUCUGCUGGGACAGUGAGCAUAACACUGUUGUGAGGAGGGUGUGGGAAAAUCACGCGGCAACUAGGUAAGAUCGAAAACAAUACAGGAUUUUUUUUAGACAAAAAUUUAUGUUUCGAAAUGUAAUUUUUGGUUGCGUGAAGUAGGUUGCGUGAUUUUUGGUAUGAAGCACAAAAAAAGGCAAAAAAAACUGCGAGGGAUAGGGGAUUCCAAGGCUGGAACGAUGUUGCGGUUUGGAGGGAUUUCAAACCGAUAUACAUCCCGGAAGAUAUAUGGCCGCACUAUCUUGAGCACGUGACGUCUGAGCGGUUCACACGACGCUCACAGUCCGGUGCUGGCAACCGGAAUCGGCCAAUUCAUGGCGGGGUGACAACGCACACUGGCGGCUCCGUUCCGUUUGCUGCACAUGCGAAAUGGAUGGUAAGAUUAAUUUAAAUGAAAUAUAUCAUUAAAUUCAGUUGUUGUUAAUAUAUCUUUUUUCAUUAUAGGCUGCGUCUCUUGGACGUGAGCCGAGCCCGAUGGAGCUGUUUGUGGAGACGCACGUGCGGAGUCAAGACCACCAGAAGGGGGCGCAACAGUUCGUUGAUAACCGUGCUCAGCAUUUCGUGGUAAGUUUGUUCAACCAUUUUAUUUUGUAAGUUAUUAUGUUUAUUGUAUUGAAUAUGAUGAUAACUUUUUUUUUAUUUUCAGGAGACCUAUAAUAAUCGGUUGAGGGAGAGAUACGGGGACAAUAUUUUGACCCAUUCGGAAUUCGAUCCGGAUUUGUGGAUGGAGGUUGGCUCGUCAGGUGGACCCGAUAAAAAUCGGGUUUACGGGCUCUCCAACACUACGGCCGACAACUUGCGGUCGACCCGUAGUGUUUCAACCGUUGGGAGCUCCCAAUCAAUAUCGAGCUCCCAAUCUAAGGAGUUCGUGGCCUUGCAGCAACACACGGCUCAGCUCACCGAGAAAUACGAUCACCUAAAAGCGGAGUACGCACAACUCAAAGCGUCUCAUGCACAACAAAGAGCGGAACAAAGAGCGGAGUCUAAGCAACUUAAAGCGUCUCAAGCACAACAAAAAGCGGAGUAUGAAGCGGCUCAUGAACAACAAAAAGCGGCUUAUGAACAGCUUCGCGAAAUGCUAAUGAACAUGACAAAUAGUGGAACAUGUGCGCCUAAUCUUUUUUGGCCGUAUAACCACCAGCCUCCUCUAGGAUCUCCUCCUCCUCCUCCAGCUCCACCUUUAUAUUAAUUUGUAAUCAACAUUAUUUACCUUUAAAACUUCAUUUAAUAUUUUUCUUGAAACAUAUUCAGUUUGUAAUGAAUAUUAUUUAACUUUGUUUUUUUUUAUGUUUAAUAUAAAUUUUAUUUGCAUAAUUGGUUUGUAUUACAAUUAAUUUAAAUAGUUUUAUAUUAUAUAUCCUAAAUAAUUUUUUAAAAACAAAUUAAGAAAAAAACUAUUACCAAGGAUUUUACCGACGGAUUAAUUCGGUCGGUAUUUUAAACACUCACCGACAGAAUUAAUCCGUCAGAAUUUAACAAUAGCUUCCACCAGUACCGACGAAUUUACAGACUGAAAUAUUCGGUCGGUAUUUCAUGCACUCACCGACGUAUUUACCGACGGAAUAAAAAUCCGUCAGUAUAUUUCAAGCGGGAAUCUUUUUUUUUUGGCGCGCAAAUUCCGUCUGUAAAACCAUCGGCAAAUGGUUUUUUUGUUUUUCCGACCGAUAUAGAGACGGAAGGGGGAAUCACCGACGAAGGUAAAGCCGACAGACGUAAUCCGUCGGUGAGGACGUCGGUAAAAAAAUUACCGAUGAAAUUCUAAUCACACACCGACGGAAUUGGUCCGUCGGUAAAACUGUGAAAUCUUGUAGUGUAUGUUUAUUCUCUCUCUCAAUGGUGCCAUGAUUUACCUGCUUGUGUAUGUUGAUAAUAUUUUAUAAACCGGGAGUAACUCAGUUGUGCUUUAUAGAUUGAUUAUGUUGCUGCAAUCAGAAUUUAAGCUUCAGGAUUUGGGUUUUGUUCAUUUCUUCUUGGGCAUUGAAGUUAAAUCUAGUGCUAUGGGUAUCUUAUUAAGCCAACACAAGUAUGCCCUCGAUAUCAUCCAACGAGCAGGUAUGGCUUCGUACUCUGUCUGCCUCCUCCAAAUUAGGACAUGUGCCUGGUACUCUUUACUCUGAUCCCACACGGUAUCGCCAGAUUGUUGGGGCAUUACAAUAUCUUACCUUCACUAGACCUGAUAUCUGCUAUGCAGUCAACAAGGUAUGUCCAGCAACCUAUGGUCUGUUGUUAAACGUAUCAUGUGUUACCUCCAGGCUACAGCAACCUAUGGUCUGCACAUCACUCGAGAUUCUCUCUUGUCUCUUCAUGGUUUCACAGAUGCUGAUUGGGCUGGCAGUAUUGACGAUCACAAAUCCACAGGUGGUUACCUUGUGUACCUUGGCUCUACCCCUAUUUCAUGGAAAUCCAGGAAACAACGCACUGUUGUGAGAUCUUCUACUGAAGCAAAAUACAAAGCGUUAGCUGAUGGUACUGCUGAGAUUUUGUGGAUUCACUCAUUAUUGUCAGAACUUCGGGUCCCUUCUUCAAUUGUGACCAUGUUAUGGUGUGAUAAUUUAGGGGUCACUUUCUUAUCUGCCAAUCCAGUGUUUCACGCUUGUACUAAACAUGUUGAAAUUGAUUAUCACUUUACCCGUGAUCGGGUUACUAAGCGAGAAAUUCAGGUACGGUUCAUCUCUUCCAAGGAUCAACUAGUUGAUGUCCUUACCAAGCCUUUUCCUCCAGUCUCAUUUGCUUACUUUCGAUCCAAGCUUCUGGUAGAAUCUCCACCUUUAGCUUGACGAGGUGUAUUAAGGAAAGAGACCCUAUAUAUAUAAAUACUCUUAUAUAGGAAUAGUUAUCACAUGUAAUACAUUCCAUCAUUAUAUUAUACACAACCCUAAAGGUAUAAAUACAAAGGAUGGUUGCUCUCCUUGUGCACUACCACAAUUAAUACAAAAACUAUCUCUCAAUUAACUCAAUUAUCCCAAUGAUAAAAACAAAAAUUGAUCGAUUUCUAAGUCUAUGAUUCAAACCCACCCCCACCCCCCUAUAUAUAAACAUGUGGUUUUACAUUCUAUCUUUUCGAAAAUCAGAUUCAAGAUUAUUGCCAAACACUGUAUAAGGUUCAAUCUUAUUUAUAAUUCCACUCAAUCAAAAGUUUUGAUCAUGGCCAUCUAUAAGCUAACUUUUCUUAACAGGGUUCCACAUUUUACAUGCAUUUGAUUGUGACUGCUUUUUUGCCCUUAUAAGAUUACAUUUCAAACAGGGAAGCUAGCCGCCUACGUUCAAAUUUUCAUGAACCACUGAAUAUUGAUACUCUCUCUCUCUCUCUCUCUCUCUCUCUCUCUCUCUCUCUCUCUCUCUCUCUCUCUCUAUAUAUAUAUAUAUAUAUAUAUAUAUAUAUAUAUAUCUCAAAUGCUCACUGUUUUGAAAAUUUAGAAAUAAUUCAAAACACAAUUGUGUUCUUGUUUUUACGAAGAGAUUUUACUCGUAUGUUUUUGUUUCCAUACUUAUUUCCUCUUCUCUCUCCCUCUCUAUGAUUUAUUAUUUUUCUUUUAAAACACAAUUAAAAAACUUUCGAUACUUUAUUUUUUUUCAAAAUAAAAAAUUCAUUUUCUCUAUUUUUCAUAUAUAUGCUGUCUAUAUAAUUAGAUCAAUGCUUUAACAAUUUAAUAUAAGUAUUCCCUAGAUUUCCGAAUAUAGAAGAAUAUAUUUCAAAUUGAAAAUCUUUUAUAUCCUUAAGUAGAAAAACUUAAUCGACUAAAAAUACAAUCCUAAUAUACCGAAUAUUCUAAUAAGUCUCUUUUCUAUUUAAAUAAAAUUAAUUUUUUUUUGAGAAAAUCUUAACGAUUAAAUUUCCCAGUUUAAAUGUUUUUAAUUUCUUAAUUUCAUAAAAACUUUUUCAAAAUUUUGAAAUUUCCUUAAUUGCCUUGGCUUGGAUUUAAAAUGGCAGACAAAAUUUAAAUUAUUCCGAAUUGAGUGUUGGAUUUCCAGCAAAAAUUAAUUGACAAGUAAAAAUAUAUGGUAAAUUACAACGGCGAGUAGACAGUUUGAGAUUAUGAAUGGGUUGCAAAGAAUUGUGUUGAAAUGGCACGAUUUUAAUUAUGAAACAUGUGUAAUCUCUAACUUCUUAAAUGGAUACAUCCAUCUAUAUUGGACUGAGCUUCCAAUUUUUGUCUCAAACAGUAAAUGUAUGGGUAGAUGCUCCAUUGAAUUGAAAAACAAUUGAGGGAAUAUCAUCUCAAGUUUGUAUAUUGUCUGGAUGAUAUUCAUUUAGUUGAGAAUAACAUAAUGACUUAGGUUAGCCUUAGCCAACCUUUCCUGUUUAUAUAUGUGUGGCAAAACACGGCAGUAACCGUAAUGAUUUCAAUAUUGGAAUAAUCCUACAUUAAUUUCCUAUUCAGAGAUAUACAUGAUAUACAUUCUAUAAUAUGCCCCCUCAAGCUGAGGGUGGAGGAUCGACCCGAAGCUUGAACCUGAAAGCAAUAAAGGAUGCAGCGGAAAGUGGUUUGGUGAAGACAUCAGCAAGUUGAUCCCGAGAAGGGAUAAAGCAAAUCUGAAUUUCUUUAUUUGCAACCCGGUCGUGGACAAAGUGAUAAUCGACCUCAACAUGCUUAGUACGAGCAUGGAAAAUAGGAUUCGCUGAGAGAUAGGUCGCGCCAAGAUUAUCACACAAAAUGGUGGAGCAGAGACGGAGGGAACCUACAGAUCUGUUAACAAAUAUUGAAGCCAGAUGACCUCAACAGUACCUUCUACUAAGGCUUUGUACUUAGCCUCAGUGAAGGAGCGGGCAACUGUACGUUGCUUGCUGGAUUUCCAUGAAAUCGGUGUUUGACCAAAGAAAACAAGAUAGCCACCCGUAGACUUACGAUCAUCAAUACUACCAGCCCAAUCUGCAUCUGUAAAACCAUGUAGAGCAAAAGAGGUACCUCAAGUGAUAUGAAAACCAUAGGAUGUCGUACCUUUAAGGUAGCGGAGAAUGCGUUUAACAGUAGCCCAAUGGGAAUUUGUAGGAGCAUGCAUGAACUGACAAACUCUGUUAACAGCAAAGCAGAUAUCUGGGCGAGUGAAGGUAAGAUACUGAAGAGCACCCACGAUUUGACGAAAUCAUCUAGGAUCAAAGAAUGGGUGAUCCGGGUGUAUAGCAAUUUUUGAAGGAGAGACUGAAGUAUCAACGGGUUUGCAAGAAGUCAUACCAGCCCGAGUGAGGAUGUCAAGAAUAUAUUUGUGUUGGCGCAACAUCAGACCCAUACUCGUAGACUGAACUUUAAGACCCAGAAAUUAGUGAACAACACCUAAGUCACGAAGCUUGAACUCAGAGCUUAGUAACUGUAUUAGACGAUGAAGCAUGGGAGAGUUGCUACCCGUAAGCAGAAUAUCAUCAACAUAUACCAGGAGAUAAAAGAUAUUAGUACCAUCAGAUAAGAUAAACAGGAAGGUGUAAACCUUGGAGGCAAGAAAACCAAUGGAGAGCAAAAAAUCACUCAAACGAGUGUACCAUGCCGUUGGUGCUUGUUUUAAACCAUACAAUAACUUGUGCAAUCUGCACACAUGAGAUGGAAGAGUAGGGUCAACAAAACCUCGAGGUUGCUUCAUGUAGACCUCUUCCGUAAGAACACCAUUGAGAAAUGCAUUAUGAAUAUCGAGCUAAUGAAUCUUCCAAUUACAUGAAACCGCAAUGGAAAAGACUAAUAUGAUGGUGGCCUGCUUAAUAACUAGGCUGAAAGUUUCAGAAUAAUCAAUGUCUUCCUGCUGGGUAAAGCCUCUAGCAACUAGACGGGCUUUAUAAUGUUCAAUACUGCCAUCAACACGAUGUUUGAUCCGAUACACCCAUCGACUGCCAACAAUAUUCAUUGAAGGAUGAAAGGGUACUAGAGAUCACGUGUGAUUGGCACGCAAUGCCUUGAUCUCAUCACACAUAGCAUCAUGCCAAACAACAUAUUUAUCUGCAUCAGAGAAGGCAAGAGGUUCAGAGGAAGGAGAGAGCAAUACCCGAGUGGAAGCUGUAUCAGCUGCAGUAAAGGCCACCAGAUUUGUUGUCUUUGGCUGCCGCGGCCGAAGGACCAUAAGGUGGCGGCUGAGCAAGGGUGGUGACAUUGGAGAACAUGGUGUCAAGGAGGUGUCCUGCUGCAGCGGAUAAGAGGAGAGAUCAACCACCAGAUUCAGACCAGGUGAAGAAGUCGUGGGAGAAGCUGGCAACAACAACGGGGCUGGCAGCUGAGGCAGAUUCUACAGUAGCCUGGUGACUGGCAGAAUAAGGGGAAAUAGAGGAGGAACCAGAGGGCGUCCCAGCACAAGUAAAGGCAUCUUGCUGGAGUGUAGGGAAUACUGAUCGGCAACCUAUACCUGUAACAGAAUGGUUAGAUAAACAUGCAUGUGGUGAUGGGUAAGGGAAAGGUGGAGGCUGUGGUGUUUUGGUAGGGGGUGGCGGCAGGGUAGAGGCAGAGGAGGGAUGGUGAGGUGCGGUAUGGAUAGUGAACAAUGGGGAGUGGGUCAGAUUUGGGAGGAUGGUAGCAGCAGGUUGUGUGGGGUUUGGAGCCGAAACCCUUGCAAUCUGUUUAGAAUUAUCAAACGGAAACACAUGUUCAUGAAAACAAACAUGACAGGAGAUAUACAUGCGAUGAGAUUCAAUGUCUAAACAUCGAUAACCAAGGUAUGAGGAACUAUAGCAAAAAAACACACAUGGAGAAGAACGAAAAUUCAAUUUAUGAUUAUUUUAGGGACGCAAAAAAGAAAAGUAGAGACAUCCAAAAGUACACAAAAAAAAGAUAAUCAGGAGACCGUUGAAACAAUAGGAAUCUGUAGGAGCAUGCAUGAACUGACAAACUCUGUUAACAGCAAAGCAGAUAUCUGGGCGAGUGAAGGUAAGAUACUGAAGAGCACCCACGAUUUGACAAAAUCAUGUGGGAUCAGAGAAUGGGUGAUCCGGCUGUAUAGCAAUUUUUGAAAAAGAGACUGAAGUAUCAACGGGUUUGCAAUAAGUCAUACCAGCCCGAGUGAGGAUGUCAAGAAUAUAUUUGUGUUGGCGCAACAUCAGACCCAUACCCGUAGACUGAACUUCAAUACCCAGAAAGUAGUGAACAACACCUAAGUCACGAAGCUUGAACUCAGAGCUUAGUAACUGUAUUAAACAAUGAAGCAUGGGAGAGUUGCUACCCGUAAGCAGAAUAUCAUCAACAUAUACCAGGAGAUAAAAGAUAUUAGUACCAUCAGAUAAGAUAAACAGGGAGGUGUCAACCUUGGAGGCAAGAAAACCAAUGGAGAGUAAAAAAUCACUUAGACGAGUGUACCAUACCCUUGGUGCCUGUUUUAAACCAUACAAUGACUUGUGCAAUCUGCACACAUGAGAUGGAAGAGUAGGGUCAACAAAACCUAAAGGUUGCUUCAUGUAGACCUCUUCAAUAAGAACACCAUUGAGAAAUGCAUUAUGAAUAUCGAACUGAUGAAUCUUCCAAUUACGUGAAACCGCAAUGGAAAAGACUAAUAUCAUGGUGGCCUGCUUAAUAACUGGGCUGAAAGUUUCAGAAUAAUCAAUGCCUUCCUGCUGGGUAAAGCCUCUAGCAACUAGACAGGCUUUAUAACGUUCAAUGUUGCCAUCAACACGACAUUUGAUCUGAUACACCCAUCGACUGCCAACAACAUUCAUCGAAGGAUGAAAGGGUACUAGAGACCACAUGUGAUUGGAAUGCAAUGUCUUGAUCUCAUCACACAUAGCAUCAUGCCAAGCAAUAUAUUUAUCUGCAUCAGAGAAGGCAAGAGGUUCAGAGGAAGGAGAGAGCAAUACCCGUGUGGAAGCUGUAUCAACGACAGUAGAGGCCACCAGAUUUGUUGUCUUUGGUUGCCGGGGCCGAAGGACCAUAGGGUGGUGGCUGAGCAAGGGUGGUGACGUAGGAGAAGAUGGUGUCAAGGAGGUGUCCUGCUGCAGCGGAUAAGAGGAGAGAUCAACCACCAGAUUCAGACCAGGUGAAGAAGUUGUGGGAGAAGCUGUCGCAAGCAGAGGGCUGGCAGCAACAACGGGGCUGGCAGCUGAGGCAGAUUUUGCAGUAGCCUGGUGACUGGCAGAAUAAGGGGAAACAGAGGAGGAACCAAAGGGCGUCCCAGCACCAGUAGAGGCAUCUUGCUGGAGUGUAGGGAAUACUAAUCGGCAACCUGUACCUGCAGCAGAAUGGUUAGAUAAACAUGCAUGUGGUGAUGGGCAAGGGAAAGGUGGAGGCUGUGGCGUUUUGGUAGGGGGUGGCUGCAGGGUAGAGGCAGAGGAGGGAUGGUGAGGUGCGGUAUGGACAGUGAACAAUAGGGAGUGGGUCAGAUUUGGGAGGAUGGUAGCAGCAAGUUAUGUGGGGUUUGGAGCUGAAACCCUUGCAAUUUGUUCAGAAUUACCAAACGAAAAAACAUGUUCAUGAAAACAAACAUGACAGGAGAUAUACAUGCGAUGAGAUUCAAUGUCUAAACAUCGAUAACCAAGGUAUAAGGACCUUUAGCCAAAAAACACACAUGGAGAAGAACGAAAAUCCAAUUUAUGAUUAAUAUAGGUGUUGUAACCCAUUUUUGGGUCCCCGUAUAAAAAAGAAGAAAAUACAAAAAAAUCAAAAAAUAUAUGUUCGAAAAAAAUAAAAAUAAAUAAUAACAGUGAGAAUAGGACGCCAGAACACUCAGAAAAUGGCCAAAAAUUGGUAUAGAGGGUUGACUGAUGAUAGCCCUGUUGACUGAUGAUAGCUCUGUUGAUGAAGAAAAUUUAAUUUGAGGAAGAAAAGUCCAAAAUCAUAUGUUUAUGGACUCAAUUAAAUUUUAUUGAAGAUUUAAUUGAAUUUAUGGAGGGUUUGAUUGCAAGAAAAAUUGAUUUUGGAGUUAAUUUGGGCUUUAAUUGGAAGAAAUUAAAGUUCUGGGGUCAAAUUAUAAUUUUUGAGAGUUAAUUUGGUCAAAUCAGGGGCUUAAUUGCAUAAAUAUUAAAGUUUGAUGGCCAAUUAGGGACUUAAUUGAAGAAAUCUGAAACCAAGAACCAAACUGGAAAAGGCGCGUAAAUAGAGGGACUAUAAUUAAAACCGGAUCAGGGGCCAAAUUGAAGAAAUUAGAAGUUUAUUGCUCAAUUGAGGGUCAAAUUGCACUAAUUCAAGACCAAGGACCAAUUUGGAAAAGGCCGCCAACUUUAGGGCCGCUGUUUGAUUUUUGGCAAGGAUGCAAUUGCAUUGUUUUUUUUAUCAAAAUUGCAAUUAAGGACUCGAUUGAACAAAUCACAAAUUAAGGACCAAUGUGAACUCUGACACGUUUUUUGCCACCUUUUCAUUUAAAUGAAACGGCGCGUUUUGUCCAAAACGGCGUCGUUUCAUGCACUGUUUACAUUAAAAAAAAAAAACAAGAGCCCAAAACGGUGCCAUUUUGAACGGCACUGUAACCUUUCUUCUUCCCCCGGAUGUGCGAAACAGGGGAAGAAGAAGAUCUUUUCUUCCUCUGUUUUCACCGCCUUCCCUUCCCCCGAUAACCCAAAAAGACGCCGACCAGAGACCCUCCACCUGCACAGCUUUCCACGUGUUAGAGUUAGGGGAGGAGAGGUGUCCCUAGGGUGGUAGAGGGGCGGUUGAACAGUGGUCGCCCCGUCCACCCUACACCCCUGCGCCAUUGACUAGGCAGGGGUGUAGGUCUCCUUUUCUCCCCUAUAAAUACAGGGGAGAAAUGAGACACAUAAAAAAGAAAGGGGGAGGAAAAAGAAUGAAAAACCAAGAGAGAGAAAGAGAAAAAAAUAGAGAAAGAAGAGAAGGAAAACAGAUAAACAGGAAAGAAAAAAAACGAGAGAGAAAAAGAGAAGACGAGGGGAGAAGGGAGAGCACAGAAAGAAAAGAAAAAAAAAAGAAGAAGAGGGAAAAUGGUUUGAAGACCGAAUAAAAAAGAAGAGAAAAAACAAAGGAGGGAGAGGAAGAAGAAGGAGCAGCUCCGCCGGCCACCGCAGUCCCUCCACCGCGACAACAGCACCGCCCCCGCCCCAAGUAACCUCCUGCUGCCCCAUUUUGUUUCCUCUUGCUCAGCCCCUGCCUGCAUUUGCAUGCAGAACGUGAAUAAUUCACGUUCUGCAGCAAAUGGUGAAAGGGUUGGUUACUGUGUUGGUGCACAGUAACCAGCCCAUUUGGUUUUGGGCCGGGUCAGGCCCAGCCCACUGAUCUGGACCAAGUCCGGCCCAUUUCAAAAAAAAAAGAACAAAUAUUUUUCAAUAUUUGUGAUUUUCCGCGUGUAUUGUUUUAUGUUGUUUUGUUUAAUCUCGGUCUGUUUCCUGUCAAUUUGAAAAAAGACGAAUACAGUAUUAAAAUACCCGGUUUUUGUCAAAACUUCCAAAAAUACAAAAAAAAUUGAAAAAAGCAAAAAUGUUUCUGUGCAUACGGCCAAGUGUUUCAAAGCUAAAAAAUCAUAUUGUGUUUGUCAUACACCAGCAAAAAAUGUCUUAGCAUGCAUUUUGGCUUUAAUAAUCAGUUUAUUAAAGUCAAGAAAACAUUGGCCAAAAUUUCAAAAACAACAAAAAUUUUAUUUUGUUUAUCUUUUAGUAUCCGGGGUACGACAUUACACGUAAUACGUAUUCUGGAUAUUAAAUUUUGUUUAUCGGGCGUAGAACAGUUAGGUUUUACUCCAUUAUGAUAAGAACCUCCUUAUUAAGGAGGGCUUUUCUUGAACCUUAAACAGACCAACAAUUAGAAAACACAAUAAGACCGUAGUUUUUUAUCAGACAUUAAAAUAAUGCAGUCUACCUUAGGUAGGGCGUAGUUGGGAUGCUAAUACCUUCCCUUUACGCAAUCAGUCUCCGUACUCGAUCUCUAAGACCAGUUAGGGUUUCUAGUAACCAUGCGAUUUAUGAGAUAGGCCAAAGUGUCGAAAGCAUAAUUCCAAAACCAGAAUGGGGCUUUACAUUGUCCUAGAAGAGUAAGGCUGGUUUCCACAAUAUGCCUAUGACGUCUUUCUACUGUGCCAUUUUGUUCAUGAGUGUGAGGACAGAUCCGACGAUGAUGAAUACCAAUGGUCUGAAAGAAAGUGGAGAGUUUGCGAUAUUCACCGCCCCAAUCAGUUUGAACAGAUUUUAUUUUAAUGAAAAUUGACGCUCAACAAGAGUUUGAAAUUGGUGAAAAACAAAGUAAACAUCAAAUUUGGCAACAAGUGGAUAAUACCAUUUAUAUUUUGUGUGCGCAUCAACAAAGAUAACAAAAUAAGGAUAGCCAUCCAAAGAAAAAAGGAGAGCAGGACCCCAUACAUCACUAAAAAUUAAUUCAAGCGAAGCAAAAGUUUUGUGACCAGUAGGUCCUAAAGACAGACACGAUGAUUUUCCUAAUGGACAACUUUGAGAUUGAAAAUUAAGACGUUUGUUGUUACAACUAAUCUUAUUUUUUGAGACUAAAAAUUGAAAAAUACAAGAGGUAGGAUGACCUAGUCGACGAUGCCAUAAAUCAGCAUAAGCAGAAAUGCAGGGAGACCAAUAGGCUUGAGGAACUGACGGGACGGAAGACCUGAACCUGGACAAAGUAUAGAGACCAUAUUUACUCUGUCCUGAAAGGUACUUCAUUGGUGUUGAGAUCAUUGACAUAAAACAGAAAAGGGUGAAAUUCAAAAUAAACAUUAUUAUCGAGACAAAAUUUCUGAACAGAAAGCAAAGAUUUCGUGAUUGCAGGAACAUGAAGGACAUUAGACAAAGUGAAAGAAUGAUGUGGGGUAUAUAGUUUGGUAUGACCGAUAUGAGAUAUGGAAAGUCUCUUAACAUCACCAACAUGCAAAUUAUCAUUAUCAAGGUAUGGUUCUGAAGCAGUCAAGGUUGCAAGGUCAGGUGUGACGUGUUGCUUUGCACCGGUGUCCGGAAACCAUUCAAUAGUACCUGUAGGAUUGUGCAGCGCUAGAUUGGCACUAUGAUGUUGGCCAUAGCCUUGUUGCUGAAGUUGAGGGCAGUGAGGAGCAGUAUGGCCAAAUGCUUGGCACAACUGGCAGUGUGGAUUGGACCCCCUACUGCGCUGCCAAUUGCCCUGCCAGUUGCCUUAUCUGAUGUCAUUGCUAGAGGUGUUGUGGAAGCUACGAAAGUCGGGCCUGGAACCAGAAGUUCUAUGCCCUUUGUGAUUGAAUUGGUGAGAACGCCAGCUGCCAUUAAAAUGCCCCUUAUUUUGACCAAACUGUGCAGCAGACUGACAUUGAGAGAUAAGUAUUGAAGGAGGUAUGUUCGGCGUGGGCAACAGAGGUGCAAGAAUUACAGCAGACCCCAUGGACAAAUGGGAGGAUUUGUGAAUAAAUUCAUGUGUUAGCAGAUGACUAAGUAAAUCUGCAUAUAGUAGAGGAUCUGCCCUUGUAACAAGACUUGUUACUAAGUCCUUAAAUUCUCCGCGAAGGCCACGAAACACAUAUAAGUUGAAAUCCUCUAGCGAAAUAGGUUGGCCAGCAGCGGCUAGCUCAUCAAAUAAGGCCUUAGCUUUUUGCAUAAAUUGAGUUACCGAUUCAUCACCUUGUUGAAGGUCUUGAAGAGAGCCAUGAAGUUGCAUAAUACAGGAAUUCGAUGUGGAAGCUAGAGCUUGCUCAAAUGUGUGCUAGACAAAGCAUGAGGUUUGACAAUCAAGAACAAGAUGAAGAACUUCCAUAAAUAGCGAAGAGAGCUGGGCACUUAGAAUGAGUUGGUCAUGUUGUUUCCAACAAAGAAAGAGUUGAGAUACCUGAAGAGAGACACCAUCGGCAGCAAGAACAUGUGGAGAGGGGCAGGAGUUUGAACCAUUAACAAAGCCGAAAACUCCUUGGCCUAGAAGAUACGACUUCAUCUGCAUUUGCCAAUACAGAUAAUUGGUGUUUGUCAAUUUUAAGGAGAUGACUUGGUGAGUGUGGGAGAGGGACACAAUUGCAGCAGCAGAGGCGGUAGAGACUUCAGCAAAAGAGGGCUGCAGUAGAGGAGCAUUAUUGGGGUUGAAGAGAGCAUGGCCAACAUUUGUGGGCUGUGGCCACUGCAGAACAGAAGCUGAGGAAGAAGGUGGUGUUGCGGCAGCGAAGGAAGAUGGCACUACCGGUGCUGCAGAGGGAGAGAUAGCUGUUGGCUGGGAGGAAUCCAUUGUAGAGAGGAGAGGAAGUGUUUUAGUUUAUCUAGGGCUCUGAUACUAAGUUGAGAAUAACAGAAUGACUUGGGUUAGCCUUAGCCAACCUUUCCUAUUGAUAUAUAUAUAUAUAUAUGGCAGAACACGGCAGUAACCGUAGGGAUUACAAUAUUGGAAUAAUCCUACAUUAAUUUCCUAUUCAGAGAUAUACAUGUUAUACAUUCUAUAAUACAUUUCAAUCCUCUCUAUGUGUUAUGUCUGCAAACUAUUGGAGCAUAUAUCUCUAAAGAAGUAACUAAUCUAUGUGAGUGCAUCUCAUAUCCCAUUUGGUAAUACAUCCCGGUAGACUAAUGGAAUGAGUGUUUGCAUAAACACAUGGCAGUUAUGACUCUUCAUUUCAUGCAAUCUGCAAUCCUCUAAAUUCACCAACCUUGAUAUGUUCGAGGCAUGUCCAUCAGGAAAACACAUACUUUUAAGUCAUUGGCAGAUAAGCAACUGUGCAUUCUUGUGUAAGGUGGAGUUGGCUUUGGGCUUUGUGACCUAUGAACCAACAUAAACCAACUCCAUAUUUUUACGGUGACAAAAAAAAAAGUUAUAUCCAUUCUAGCAUUGAUGUUGUCAUUUGUCUUUCCCUUCACGUCCAUAACCAUGUUGAAAAUGUUCUCAAACACGUUCUUUUCUAUGUGCACAACAUCAAGGUUAUGAUGGAGGAGAUUGGUCUUCCAAUAAGGAAACUCUCAUAAAAUACUUCGCUUUACCCAAUUGUGGGUCAAACCAAAACCAGGAAAUUUUUACUUACCAGAAUGAAAAUCAAACAUAGUGUCACCAUACUCCAAUAUCAUGUCAUACAAUUCUUCACUUGAAAGAAGUGUUUGUGCAACUCCGAUACCAUUUUAUAGGAAUUCAUAAACUUAUCGGAUAUCUGUGAGAGAGUACAUGGGAAUUUUACUUAGAUUUUCAAAAAAAUAUUAUUAAUAAAAAAAUAUGAUUAUAAUUCUUAUAUUACUUAAUAAAAUCUUUUAAUACUUGUGUGAACGUAACUAAAUUUAAAUAAACCAUAUAAAUUUUUAUAUGUUUUAUUUCUCAUUUUACCAUAUUUAUCUUGAGUUGUGUUGUCAAAGAACCAUCUCAACCCAAUAGCUUAAGCUGUUAGGUGAGGUCCCAGGAUAUGAUUUAUAUUAUUCUCUAACACACCCCCUCAAGUGAAAGCCCUUUGGGCUUGAAACUUGCACAGGCCCACAUUACCUUGUGCUUAAUUUUUUUUUUUUUUAUCAAAUAAAUGGGGAUGGUGAGAUUCGAACUCGUGACCGCUUGGUCAUCAAGGCUCUGAUACCAUAUCAAGGAACCAUCUCAACCCAAUAGCUUAAGCUGUUAGGUGAGGUCCCAGGAUAUGAUUUAUAUUAUUCUCUAACAUGUGUAUUGGAUGAUCCUAGGAGAAUUUUCAAAACGAGGGAGAUUAAACCUCCUCAUUGUAUAAAUGUAACAUCAAUAGAAGCAAUAGAUAAUGACAUGUAGAUGACAUAGUUGAUCAGUUUAUAGUGUGUGGGGGCAAUCUGGUGUGUAUCACGACUCUCCCUUUUGAAAAUCUUUUGUUAUAUAAAGCCACACAAGGAACACCAUGCAUGUCAAGAACAUUAGUAGAUCGAGUUGUUUGAUCAUGGAAUAUCUUUCUGCAACUUCCUUCACAGCCCUAUUAAGCUUCCCAACUUCACUUCUUGUCUUAGCAAUCAUACUGUUUUACUUCAUCCAAUCCCAUAGGAAUGUCAAGAAACACCCAUUGCCUCCCGGUCCAAAACCAUGGCCUAUUGUUGGAUGCCUCCCUACCAUGCUCCGAAACAAGCCAGUGUAUCGAUGGAUACACAAUCUCAUGAAAGAAAUGAACACUGAAAUAGCUUGUAUCCGUUUAGGAAAUGUUCUUGUGAUUCCUGUCAUUUGUCCUGAUAUUGCUUGUGAAUUCUUAAAAGCACAAGAUAAUACCUUUGCAUCUAGACCUAAUACCAUGACCACAGAUCUCAUCUCGAGAGGUUACUUAGCAACAAUUCUCUCUCCCUCUGGAGACCAAUGGAAUAAAAUGAAGAAAGUUCUUAUGACUCAUGUACUUUCUCCAAAAAAACAUCAGUGGCUUUAUAGCAAAAGAGUUGAAGAAGCUGAUCACCUUGUUCAUUACGUGUAUAACCAGUGCAAGAAGUCUGUGCAUCAAGGUGGCAUUGUGAAUUUGAGAACUGCUGCCCGGCACUAUUGUGCAAAUGUGACUAGGAAGAUGCUGUUCAAUAAGAGGUUUUUUGGGGAGGGAAUGAAAGAUGGGGGACCUGGUUUUGAGGAAGAGGAGUAUAUGGAUGCACUUUUCAGUUGCCUUAAACAUAUAUAUGCAUUUUGCAUCUCGGAUUUUUUGCCAUCUUUGAUAGGGCUUGACUUAGAUGGGCAUGAGAAGGUGGUGAUGGAGAAUCAUAGGAUCAUCAAUAAAUACCAUGAUCCCAUAAUCCAUGAGAGGGUUCAACAAUGGAAGGAUGGUGCAAAGAAGGAUACGGAGGACUUGCUUGAUAUUUUAAUUACCCUAAAAGAUCGUAAUGGCAAUCCCCUGUUGUCAAAAGAUGAGAUAAAAGCUCAAAUUACAGUAAGAUUUAUAUGCAUUUACAUUUUGAAUUCCACAUGGAAACACAUAUUUAUGUCUUUAAUUUUAAGUAACUAGCCAGGCACACAAUUGAAUGGAGAAAAAAAGACUUAAUUAAUUAUACCAGUGAUGAGCUAGUUAUAGCUUAACUGGCACCGUGUCCUUUCCUUUGAGAGUCUCAAGUUUGCAUCUCUUUCCUUAAAAAAAACAUUGUAAUAAUCAAGUUUCACUACUGUAUAUCAUAUAUAGUAAUGAUUUUCAACCACGAUGACACUUGCAGGAAAUAAUGGUUGCAGCAGUGGACAAUCCAUCAAAUGCUUGUGAAUGGGCAUUCGCAGAGAUGCUAAACCAACCUGAGAUACUUGAAAAGGCUACUGAAGAACUGGAUAGAGUGGUUGGAAAGGAGAGACUUGUCCAAGAAUCAGACUUUGCGCAUCUCAAUUACGUGAAGGCAUGUGCUAGAGAAGCAUUCAGGCUUCACCCUUUCGCACCAUUUAACGUUCCUCAUGUGUCGGCCGCCGAUACAACAGUUGCCAACUACUUCAUCCCGAAAGGUUCCUAUGUUCUGCUUAGCCGUCUAGGACUGGGCAGAAACCCUAAAGUAUGGGAUGAGCCGCUCAAGUUCAAGCCAGAGCGUCACCUCAAUGAAAUGGAGAAGGUGGUGCUGACUGAGAAUAAUCUGCGAUUCAUUUCGUUUUCCACUGGAAAACGUGGGUGCAAAGGUGUGACACUUGGGACUUCAAUGACUACCAUGCUAUUUGCUAGACUUCUCCAAGCGUUUACUUGGAGUUUACCACCUCGUCAAUCCAGCAUCGACCUUACCAUUGCAGAAGACAGCAUGGCUCUUGCAAAACCACUGUGUGCACUUGCAAAACCACGCUUGCGUCCACAAGUGUAUCCCGGAUACUGAAGGGAGUACAAGGACUGCGUAUGCUGCAAAAUAUUAUCAAUAGACGUUGUGCCAGAACAUUAGCAGUUAAUGUAAUAAACUCUGGCAACUUUUAUAUUGUUGAGAAAAGAAACAUAAAGGAUUUGUGUUUAGAAUUCCUAUUUAACUAGUUAACUAAAAUUUUUAAUGGAUUGUGAUAGUUUGAGCUUAUAACCCCUAGUAAAAAUAAGAAUAUAAAUAUUUAAGAGUGUUGAAUAUUGUUGUUGCCCAUUUUGGGGCCUAUAUAAACCAAAAAAAAUAAAAAAAUAAAAAAGAAGAAAGCGAAGAGAAAAUGAAAAAAAUAAAAAAAAUACUAAAAGAAAAUCACAAAAAUAUUUCAGUAAGAAUAGUAUACCAGAAUGAACACCCAGUAUUUUCAACUAAUGAAGGCCCCAUUGGCAAAGGAAUAUUAAAUUUAAGGAGGAAAAUUCAAAUUUGAUGUUUAAGGAUUCAAUUGGAAUUUUUCUAGGUUUAAUUGAAUUUAUUGAGGACUCAAUUACAAGAAAAUUGAUUUUUAACUUCAAUUUAGACUUUAAUUGGAAGAAAUUAAAGUCUAGGGGUCGAAUUGCAAUUUUUAAGAGUUAAUUUGGUUCAAUCAGAAGCUUAAUUGCAUAAAUAUUGAAGUUUAAUGGCCAAUUAAAGACUUGAUUGAAGAAAUCCAAAACUAAGCACCAAACUAAAAAAGGCGUGUGAAUGAAAAGGCUGGAAUUGACCAAGUCACGGGUCAAAUUAAAAAAAAUUAAAAGUUUGUUGGUCAAUUGAGGGUAGAAAUGCAUAAAUUUAGAACCAAGGACUAAAAUGAAAAUAACGAUCAACUUUGGAGCUGAUAAUUGAGUUUGGUAAGAGUGAAAUUGCAUGAAAUUAAAAAUCUGGAAGCAAUUACUAGUAUAAUUAAAAGCAAUUAAAAGAGCAGGGACUCAAUCGAAUUUUUCAAAUCCUGAAUAAAAAACCCUAAAUGACAUGUCGUUCAGACUUAAUGAAAAGAAGGCAAAUGCAUGUCAUUCAUCAGCUUGCAUCUUUGUUUUAACAGUUUCAGCUAAUCGAGUUGGCAACUUCAAACACAUGAAUGUAGAGUUACAAACCUCUAAAUUAAGUAAGGUUGGAUCCAAAUGAAAGGUGUACACCCCCUUUACUAAAUUCAGGUGGUCUCAAGCGAUGAUAACUUCAUGAUAACUUCAUAAUUGCUCCGACAAGGUCUCAAAAGUGGGCAACUCAGUCAGUCUUGACAGUGCAACCAUCAUGCUCCUCAAUAGGUUCUUAUCAAGGGUUUACAAUACAUUCAUCAAGAUCAAGAGAUUAGAAAUGAAUUUAAGACCUCCCAAAACCCUAUAAAUACCUCCCUAAAGAUCAAGAAAAUAGGGCUGGAAAAAAAAAAGGAAGAAGGAAAAAAAAUAUUGAUGAAGAAGCUAAAUGUGAAGGUUUGAGAGGCUAACACAAAGUUUUCUCAAGUUUCUUAAGCUUAGUAAGUUUGUGAAAGGCAAAACUUUUCAAAUGAAAGAAAAGAGAGAAAGUAAUUGUUUUAGGUAUAUUUUAAUCCAAAAGCACGCACUUGUGGCUUGCUUAAGGUGUUUUUUAUUUGUUUUUUGCUUUAAUCCAAAAGAGGUUUUGAAUGUUUAACAAAUAAUGUUGCAUUCACCUCUUUGUUGUUAUGAUUUUUAUUUAAUUAAGUUAUGUUGAAUAUUUUUUUUUUUGUGUUUUUGAUGCAUUAAAGUUGUUGUAUAAGUUUGUUUUUGAUAUACAAUGUUGUUUUAGUUUUUGUUUAAAUUUAUGCAUGUUAAAGCAAGGAUGUUUACCCUGGAUUUGUUAGCCAUGUUCAUGCACAAAAUAGGUUCAGAAAAUCAAUUUUGAAUCCAUGUUGCAUGAAUAUAUAGGUUGUUUUUAAGUUGACAAUUUUUUUGAUUUGGUACCUUAUGUUUGAUUUUGAUGCUUUGAUGCUUUUUUAUUAGUUUUUUUAUCAAACAUGUUUUUGUAUGAUAUUGUGACUUGUUGGGACAAAAGGAGAUGUUUUAAAAGCCAAAAAUGCCCAUUACUGGGUUUGGCAAAAGUUGUCUUAGCUAGAGAUUUUUUGGGUUUUCUGAGCAUGUUUUUCGUGUUCUUAGAAAGAACACUGCCUUAGCCUCUAGAUAUGGACCAUGUUUGGUCCAUUUCUUUACACAUACACCUUCUUCAUGCAUGAUUAGUACAUAAUGUAGUGUUCAUUUGCAUCAAUAACAUGUUUUUAUAGGUUUUAAUCCUAAAAUUUUGGUUUUGAACCGAAGCCUAUUUUGAUAAAAAUCGAGAUGUUUUAGUGAUAAUCGAUGUGAAUAGAUACUAGAUUAUUGAUCCUUGCAUAAUUUAUAACAUGUACAUACCUUUGUUUAAACCAAAUUUGGUCUAUUUUGGAACCCAUGUUGCUAGGUUCAUGUUCGGUGUUAUUGAAGUUCCUGGUGUUCUUCAUCUUUUUUGUGUGUUUCAUCCUUUUUGUUCAAGAAUUUUUUAGUUUUUUGUGUUUUUUUGGUGUUCAAUCUAUUUUUUGGCUUUAAUUGUUUUUUGGGUUGUUUUCGAGUUAAACCAGAUUUUUUUCAUUCAGUUUAUGAUCAGGUCAACCUAGUCAGGUCAACUUGGUCGAAUCAAGUCAAAGGGUUUAAUACCCUGUUUGGUUUGCCAUAAUUUUUAUUAAAGGGUUUUUGGGCUUAAAGGUGUGUUUGGAAAACACCUCUUAAGCUUAUUUUUAGAAAUUUUAUUACAAAAAAAAAUGGAUUUUUGCCAAACAAAACCUAAAACAAUAAAAAUAUAAUAUAAUAUUUUUUUUUCUUACAUAUGGCUAAAAUCCUAAAGUUAUUUAAGCAUUUUUUAAAAAAAAAAUACUUUGACAUGUUUUUUUUUAAUAUUGCAUAGAUUUUACAACAAGUUUGUAAAAUUUCAAAGGAUUUUGUUCUACAUUUCAAAAAUAUCAAAAAAAAAAGAUUUUUUGUUUUUUUUAAUAUAUGGGAUUAUAAACUUAUAUGGAAGACAUAUUCCUAAUAUUAAAUAAAAAGAUAAUUUAUUUUAUUUUUUGAUGUUGGGAUUAGAACGGUUAGAUUUUUAACUUGAUAAAAUAAGGAUCUCCUUACAGAGAAUGAUUUUUCUUAAACCUUAAACAGAUCAUUAGUUAGAAAACACAACUUUUUCUUAGUUUAUAUUAGACAAAUAAACAAUGCAGCUUACCUUAGUUAAGGUGUAUUAGGGGAGAUAAUACCUUCCAUUUAUACAUCAGUCCCCUUACCAAAAAUCUAAGACCAGUCAUGGUUUAUAAUGACUAAAAUACUACGUGGCAACUCUCAUUAAUUGUAAGAACUCAACUCCCAUUAAAAGAGCUCCCAUUAGAAAAACUCUUAUCUCCAAACUCAUUCGAAGAAUUCAACUCCCACUAGAGGAACUCUCAUAUUUGAACUCAUUGAAGGAACUAAACUCUCAUUGAAUGAACUCUCAUCUUCAAACUCAUUAGAGGAACUUACAUCUUCAAACUCAUUAGAGGAACUUAACUCCCAUUAGAGGAACUCUCACUAGAGGAACUUUCUUUGGAGGAACUCUCAUCUCCAAACUCAUUGGAUGAACUCUCUUUAUAGGAACUCAACUCUCAUUAGAGGAACUAUCAUCUCUAAACUCAUUGGAGGAACUCUCAUCUCUGAACUCAUUGGAGAAACUCAACUCCCAUGGAAGGAACUUUCAUUUUUGAAUUUAUUAGAGGGACUCUAAUUGGAGGAACUCCCUUUAUAAGAACUUAACUCCUAUUAAAACAGCUCCCAUUAGAGGAACUCUCAUUUCUAAACUCAUUGGAGAGACUUAACUCCCAUUAGAGAAACUCCCAUACCCAAACUCAUUGGAGGAACUCAACUCCCAUUAGAGAAAAUCAUAUCUUUGAACUCAUUAGAAGAAUUCAACUCUCAUUGGAGCAACUCUCACUUAAGAAACUCCCUUAAAAGAAACUCCUUUUGGAGGAACUCUCAUUAAAGAAACUCAAUGGAGAAACGCAUUAAGGGUGAAACUCGUACUUAGAAAUUUUCUAAAUGGCUAGAGGGAACCCAUAGGAGAAUAAACAUAUACUUAGAAAAUUUCUAAGUGAUCGAAAGGAACCCAAUGAGGGUGGUGCUAUUGCACUAUGAAAAUUAAGUCAAUCCCUUAGAAAGUAGUGUUAUUGCACUAGGAAGACCAAGUCAAUCCCUUGAAGAGUGGUGUUAUUGCACUAGAUAGACACAUUACCAAUCCCUUGGAGAGUGGUGUUAUUAUAAUAGGAAGAUCUCAUAUGAAUCCCUUGGAGAGUGGUGCUAUUGCACUAAGGAGAUCUCAUAUCAAUCCCUUGGAGAGUGGUGCUAUUGCACUAAGGAGAUCUCAUAUCAAUCCCUAAGUCCAGUAGAUGGAGCUUGUCCAGUAGAUGGAGCUUGUCUAGUAGGUGGAACUCAUCUUUUAUGUAUCAUCAAAGCUCCCUAAGUCCAGUAGAUGGAGCUUGUCCAGUAGAUGGAGCUUGUCUAGUAGGUGGAACUCAUCUUUUAUGUAUCAUCAAAGCUCCCUAAGUCCCAGUGACACCUUUUGACAUGUACAAGUCGCCAUGAAUAUUAUGGGUGUUGCCUUGGGGCAUAGUCGUGGUGUGUCAUCGUGGGUGUAGUCAUAGGCACAACUACCACUGCGAUGGGGCUCCAUCAACCAUGAAAAGAGCUUUUGAGAAACAUGAAUAAACUGGCUUUUUAUUUGGUUUCCCUCAAACGACAUCAAUGAUGAGGCCUCAAAAAAUCUAAGUAGCUUAGGACCAAGGCUCAUGUAUUGGAUAAUCAGUUAAUCUCUUAGUUCUACCAAUUUAAUCCAUUCUUCCUUGUCAAGGUGGCUGGUAGCUUGUACCUGGUGUUUGGUAGGCCAAGGCUAGUUGGCUGGUACCUCCAAAGGGCCUCUUUUGUAGAUUUGGAGACUCUUAGAUGCUUAAGUAAGUAUCUUUGUGAAGAGAGAAAGUGCAAUGAUAUUUUAGAGAGAUAAACUUUGAAAAUAUGUGUGCUAGAAAUAUUAAGAAUAAAGAGAUUGUGAACCUAGAGCUUAAAGGAUUCAUGAGGUAUUUAUAGCUCAUAAGUUUUGUUCUUUUAUGGAGAUGAGGGGAUGGAGAGUCAUUUUAUCACAGUGAUAUUUUUUGAGUUGUUUUUCACUCAAAAUAAUAUGUAUUGAAUCAGUAUAAAAUAUUGAGGGACCCGUGUGGAGGUUUUAAAAAAUUACCGAGAGAGUGUUGGGCUCAAGCGAGUUGUUUAAGCCCGUUAAGAGCAAAAAAAUGGGUUCGGGCGUGCUACCCAGGAUCCAUGGUCAUUGAGUCCAGGGAUCGCCUAGACCCAUUCUUUUUGGACCGUUGGGGGGUUUUGAGCUUGAAUUCACGGCAAAGAUUUCUAGUUCAUACUCAGCAUCAUUUCUAUCUGCUUGCCUUAUUUGUGUUAUAAAUAUAUCGUAUAAUAGGUCGUGGUUGAUAUCCUUGCUUUCUUUACUAUAGCAACAAAACAACAUUUACGUGGCCUCCCAUUACUCAGGAGCUUAUAUAUUUUUAAUGAAAACUUUGUAGGAACGAUGAACCAGCACAUGAUACAUGAUCAGCUUGAAAAGAUGGACCCUCAACAUCUGGUCAAGAAAUGGAGAUACGUGAGGACCAGCAAGAUCCACGAGGAACAAUGUUUACCAGGACAAAUAUCAUUAUCACCGUCUGCCACUAUUAUCUGAUUAAUUUGUGGCUGUGGAACUCCAGCUCGUAUGAACAAUGUUUUUCAUGAGUUCUGUUGUGCACAAAACCUAGAUAUCAUCGAUCUCAUUCACAUCGACAUAAAUCAUCUGUUGUUACUUAUUUUUGGACCCCACGUGUUGGAGACGGUGUAUACCUCUUUUGAACUGAGUGUAGGAGUUUAACUCAUGUUUGCUGGAAGAUUGACAAAAACAGAGAAAGAAAUAUUUUUUUUCGAAACCCUGUUUGAGCUGUUUUCUGCUCUCUUUAUCCUUCCCCAUUGCUGCCAAAAUCAUCAGGUUUUCUUAGAUUGAUCAGCAGUCUUCAUAAUGCUAAAUUCGUUCCUUCUUUAUCUGGUCUUUAAGGUUGGAUAAAUCCCUCAGAAUUUGCACUAAAAAAAAUUGGUUCUGCUGUUGUCGCAAUUUUUUUUUGUUCCAAUUUAAGCUUUGAUUCUGACUUCGUUUCGUACGAUAUCUGCCCAUCCUAGCUAUAUUCUGUCACUCAUGACAUGUUGAAAAAUUGACCUACACCUUUAUUGGGUCCUAGGGAUCAUUGUUCUUAAAGCAGACUCUCAGUCAGAUUUGGAUGCUCGGCAUUGUCAGAUCAAGAACCUUUUUUACCAACUAGAUUCCUGCCAGAUUCUGUUAUCUAAAAAGAUUUUAUCUCACUUUGAAUCCUUCAUCAAAGUUGUAGUUCGGGACAUGUAGAUAAAUUUGGGCUUUAAAUCGCUUGAUUUCGAUAUUAGAAGCUCAAGAUAUUCCCGUUUGAAUAUCUAACGUGAAAGUAGAAAAUUCUGCCGCGAGAAGGAUCCUGACCCGAGUUUUGCACUAAAAACUCUAUUUCCGUCACAAAUUUUAUUGAUUUGUUCUUAGGUCAUACUCUCAGUCCUAUCAGGAUUCUCGGCAUUGUCAGUUUCUGAAUUAGAUCAGGAGACCCUUUUUGAUUAACCAGAUUACUGCCAGAUUUUGUUCUCUAAAAUGAUUUUAUCUCACUUCUACUCCUUCAUCAAAGUUGUAGUCCUGGACGUGUAGAUAAAUUUAGGCUUUUGAACCGCUUGAUUUCAAUAUCAGAAGCUCAAGAUAUUUCCAUUUGAAUAUCUAGUGUGAAAGCAAGGAUUCCUGCCGCGAGAAGGAUUUUUUUUUGCCUGAGUUUGCAGGGACACAAUUGCAAGAUGCUUAAAGUUUGAAGACCAAUUGCAGGCCAAUUUGAAGCUCUUUUUUGGACCAAGGACCAAAUGGAAAAGGUGCUAAAAUAAGGAAGUUGAUUGAAGAUAAAAUUAUAAGGAAUUUUGCCGAAAGAAGAAAUUGAAGAAACCAUGUUUUCAUCUGCACAGCUAGCCCGGUUUUUCUUUCCUUUUAUCUGCAAUUUCCUGUUUGGUUUCCAUGUUUCUCUCGCUUGAAUGGAGAGCUGCAGACCAUGUUUUUAUUGCCUCAUUUCAAAGGGAGCAGUUAGCUUCAUGGUCCCAGCUAUGGAAGGAAAGAAAGGAGCUGCACCAUCCUCUAAAAUACUGGAAAGAAAUCAGAUAUGAUCACAAAAUCAGAAUCAAAAUAUUUUGGUUUCCUAUUUCUGCUCACCCGAGAUUACACCCUAGAGUUAAUGUAAUAUUUGUUUCCUAAAUAGAGCUGUGUUUUAGGUUAUAAGCCCCUCUAAUGACCUAGGAAGAAGAGGGGGGGAAAGAAGGGAAGCAGAAGGAAAAAAAAAGGGGGGGCAGAAAAACAGGAAAAGAAAGACAAAAAAUGCAAGAGAGGUAGGCAGUUAGGAGAGAAAAAAACACAGAGAACAGAGGGGGUUUCUUCCUUCAUCCUUGCAUGGCUGUGAGAUCAGGAAGGCAGGCAGUAGAAAAGAAAGAAGAGAAAAGAAAAGACGAAAAAAAGAGAGGAGAAACAAGGAAGAAGUAGGGACUGACUUUCAGUCUUUGCUCCAUUUUUUCUGCACAUAAAAUCUACAGAACAGGGGAAAAGAAAGUGCAGGAACCAGUAGAGAGAGUGACAAAGACGCAGAGGAAAGAAAAAGCAAGAAACAGACGCAAAUACAGAACAGAAGGAAAAGGUUUGAAACAGACGAACACAGACCAAGCAACCAUCACGCUCUCAACGUUGUUGCAGCUUCUUUGUCUCCAGGUCUGUUCUCUUCACCUCUUGCAUGCAUUUGUUUUCUUUGUGUUUGAACUGUUCAAGUGAAUUUUAAUUCACUUGAACAGUAACGUGGUCUCUUUGCAUGCAUUUUACUUUGUGUGUGUACUGUCCAAUAUUGGAAGUUUCGAAAAUGUGUUUUUGCAUGGAUUUCUUAAACACAACAAAAAUUAUUUUCUUGCAUUACUGGAUUUUACAACAUGUUUGUAAAACUCCAAAGGGAUUGGCUAAUAUUCCAAAAAAAAAAAAUCUUAUUUUGGAGGGAAUUCAUCUAUUAUUCACCGUUAAUGUUUGGAUGAAGAAAUCUCAAAGGGAUGAAUAUCCAAAAUAUUAAUGGGAAUAACUUAUUAUUCACUGUUAAUAUUUGGAUAAAGAAACUCUAACUCGUAAAUAUCCAAAAUAAUUUUCUAGGGAUAAUAAGUCAUCACACAUCCUUGAAAUAAGCUUUAAUUAUAAUGACAUUUCAAUUUUUUACUCUACAGUUUACGAGCCGUGAGAGUAUAAAACACUAAGGCAAAAAUAGGCUUUUAAAGCGCCAUAGAUUUCUAAAUUUUUGUCCCUCCUCCUUGCGAUUUACAAGUUGCAAACUCUUGAAAUACUAAGGGAAAAAUGAGCUUUUAAAGCACAUGAAAUCUCCUUGGAUUUCUAUCUUAAUAAAUUUAGUUUGAAUCAAACGUAGGAAAAUUGAUGGGAUUAGAAAACACCAACACCAUAGCAAUUAUAAAGCAAACCAAACACCAAGCAGUUUACCUUAGGUAAGGCGUACCAGGGGUGUUAAUACAUUCCCUUUACGCAACUAGUCUCUUGCCUUAGAAUCUCUGAAAGACCAGUUAGGGUUCCUAGUGACCAAAAUACUAGGUGGCGACUCCUUUACACAAUAAACAAAAAAAACCAAAAUCAAUCAUGGGUCACCGCGCUCCGCAGUGAGGGUGCGACACCAUCCAUUAAUCACAUGACUGUGCAUCCGAAUGUGUGCAUUUUAAACGUCAAAGUUGGUGAAAAUUUGAUCAAACAAAUGAUCGUUAAACACGGAAACACAAAAAAGAAAAAAAAAUCAUAGAAAUAGAUUUUAUUUUAUCCAAAAAAAAAAAAAAGGCUUCGAUUUUGAUUAUAUAUAUUGCUAUCGUUUAUAAAUAAGAUAACAAAAUUUAAAAGAAAUGCUUACAUCAUUUAAAGAAACACGUCGUGUGUGUGUGCGCAUAUAUAGUACUAUGAACAAAUUAAACUUCCAUUUACGUUUUAUUUUAGGUUAAAUUUCUUGAAAUUUAGCUGGCUAGAAAAAUAAUGACAACCAAGACACUUAAUAAUAAAUCAUAUUAUAAAAAGAAUAAUGUAAAAAAGAGAAGUUUUAGAGUAUUUUAGAAAUAAUUAUCAAUAAUUGCUUUAUAUGAUAGGGAUAGAUAUAAUUAAAGAGAAGAGACCAACACGAGAGAAAAUUAAAAAAUAAUUUUUAAGUUUAGAUGAAAGUAUAUUUUAUCAAUAGGAUCAAAUAUAAUUUUCUUUUCUAUCUUUGUAAUUAUCUAUCUUCCCAAAAUAAACUCGUGGAAUAACUUUUGAUAGUUAUUAUUGAAUUAUUUAAAAAACAAUUAUAUAAAUUAACAUGUUAAAGAACUAGUCUUAACUUAAAAACUUAAAUUAUUAGAUAAAAUUUCAAAAAUAAUUUUAUAUCACUUUUUAAUAAAAUUCUUUCAAGUAAAAACUAUUUGAAUAUAAAAUUAUUAUUCGCUAUGUUGUGCUUAAUUUUCAUAUUAUCUUAUGUUUUUUUUAUUUAUAUUAGAUAUAAAUAGAUUAUAUUUGAGUGAUGUAUUUAUAAAAAUAAAAAUCAGUCAUCUAAAAUAAAUAAAUAAAAACACAGAUUAAAAAUAAAAUAAUAUUUAAAUAUUUUCAUGCUCAUAUAUUUGGCUUUUAGGAGAAAGAUUUCCUAUAUAUUUUAGCUUUUAAAAAAAUAUUAACAACUUUUUAUAAUAAUUUUUUAUUUAAAUUUAAAUAAAUACCCCUCUUUCUAAAUUUUCAAAAUUUUUAGUUAAUUUAUUUAAAUAUCAGUCAAUCCACCAAAACCGACCAUCAAUUUUUAGGAAUAUGGGCCGGUCAUCUGCCACUGUUGUUGUGUAGCCUAAAGGGAGUUAGCAUGAUGAAUGUCAUGUGACCUGUUAAUUUUUUUUUAAUAUUAAAAAAUAUUUAAAUAUUGAAAAUAUUUUUUUUAACAGAAAAAAAUUAAAUUGUGUGAGUAUUUACUCUAUAUAAUCCGGUUGACAUAACUGGUCUAAAAACAAUUCAUACAACAUGUAAAAAUAAUAUUUGACUAAAUAAAAUUUCAAGAUGAUAUAUUUUUUUAAUAUUUAAAUAACAAUAUAUUUGAUUGACUUGAGACAAUCUAGAUUAACAUGUCAAAUUUGUGACCCAGAUUAUAAAAUUAUAAUAACCCUAUAGAAAGCAAAUCAAAAUAAAUUAUGAAGUCAAAUUCUCAAUCAAUCCAAUAUUAAAUAAUAAAAUUUUAAAACAGAUCAAUUAUAAAAACAUUUAAAAAUCAAACCAACUUAACAUGUUAAACUUAUAUUUUAAAUCAUGAAACCAAAAUAACUACGAAUGUAUAAACUAAUGCUUCCAUAGAUUCAAUCGUGGUUUACAAUUAUAGCUUCUAUAUCUAUUUAUUUAGAGUAUUCCUGGAUAAAAAAAAAAGUAAGAGUCAAGAUAAAGAAAAGGCGGCGAUUCAAAUCAAGAUGUCUCCAGUAUCCUAUGUCAAAUUUCAAAAAGAAAAUAAAGAUGCUAAAUCAGAGAUUAAUGUUGUAUCAAACUACAAACUUGCCAUUGCAGAAGACAGCAUGGCUCUUGCAAAACCACGCUUGCCUCCGCAUUUGUAUCCCGGAUACUGAACCGAGUACAAGUAAUACGUGUGCUGCAAAAUAUCAUCAAUGGAGAUUAGCGUAACAAUAGCAUUGUAAUAGCAUCUGGCAGCCUUUUUUAAUCAAAUAAUGAGAAUUCAAAUCAUGUUCUUCAUUUGUGAAUUUGUGAGAAAUGAUGUUGUGGGCUUGCAUGGAUGCAUCCAAGCUCACCCCCUUGCAAUAUGUACAAAACAAACCUUUUGGAUUUAAAAUGGCAGACAAAAUUGAAAUUAUUCCGAAUUGAGUGUUGGAUUUCAAGCAAAAAUUAAUUGACAAGUAAAAAUAUAUGGUAAAUUACAACUGCGAGUAGACAGUCUGAGAUUAUGAAUGGGGUGCAAAGAAUUGUGUUGAAAUGGCACGAUUUUACUUGACAUUAACCGAAGGUUGAUUAGCCCAAGUGCUCUCUUUUGGGUUCUUUGAAUUGUUAAAGGGCUUAACAUCUUGAGUGAUCUCUCUAAUUUGGGCAUUUGAUCAUGUCAAACCCUCUGCUUUAAAUUGAAUCAAAUAAAACUAAAAGCUUCUAAAAUUCUAAUUAGAAUGCAAUUUGAGAUCCUCUGUCAACAAUUUCAUAACACCCUGCAUGAACACAGAGACGGGGGGGAGUUGAAAAUUAAACAUUCUGCAAAAUUGCAUUUUCUAUGACUGUAGAGAGAUGUGCGACACCACCCCUUUGGAGAGGGCAUUAAAAACGAAAAUGGAUUACAGUAUAAGAGAGAAGAUGAUUGAACUCUUCAUGAACUACCAAGCCGAUAUAAAAUGAGUAAACAGUAGCCUCAAUCGCGUAUGCUCUCGUGAGUCCAGCCUAUUGAUGCCAGAAAUGCUUCAUCAGAUAGGCGCCUCAGACUCUCUCCACUUUUUUGAGCUGGCCCUCCCUGUUGGUCCCACACGAAGCUUGAAAGCCCAUUUUGCUUAAUAUAAUUAUCCAACGGUGAGUUGGCGGUGUCAACAAGGUUCAUCGUGCUCAAUCCUGGUAUUUCCAGUGACGUGUCCUCACUAUUGGGGUGACAAUUUAGGUCUAUUUGCCCAGCACUAGUUUCUGGCUUCUCUAUUUGCCUUUGGCUUUGAUUUCCUUCAGUGUCUGGAUUAUUUAUAUGCAACACUUCAUGACUCAUUGUGCCGUUCAUUUCUGAUUCCUCCUUAUGAUCCAUGUUGUCCUUCUGUGAGAUUUCUGCUUCGCGUUCUGAUUGGCGUUUCUUCUUGCGCAGCAUGAGGGUUUUAAAACGGCGCUUUACAGUCAUGCACACAUUACACGUGCAUGUGGGCUUGUGCUUGCCUUUCCCACUUGGUGGUUGAAUGCAAACGAUGCAAGUGCAACCAAGGCGGUGCCGGGGAUGCUUUGUGGUGGCUCCAACUGAUGGAUCACCUGAAUCAUCUAGAUUGUCUCCUAAAACUGCAACAGUAGCCAGAGCAUCUAAGCCAGAAGACUCCCGCUCUUGGAACCGCUUCUGACUUCUUAAAUUCCUUCGCUUCUUGAAAUCUGCUUUUGCAAAGAUGUAGGGGUGGAAUUUCAAAUCAAGGAGAUGUUCAGAGAUUCAUCAAGGAUAAAAAUCACGCACUUCAGAAAAAUGAAAAAAAAUCACCACUGCUAUUCAACUGUCUUUUACUUGACAGUAACUGAAUCACGGAUUUACAUACAAGGUUAUUAAGCUUACAUUUCAAAUGAAAAUCUUUAUAAAAAGUACUAUCAACGACUCUUCAAAUCAUGUGUUUUCCUUGACAAUGAAAGAUUUUAUUAUAUAUAUUGGUUUUUUAAGCAACCUGCAUUAGUAUGGAAUUUCAGCUAUCUAGUCAUGAUGAUUCACCCACUUGCAUUAAAAUUCCUCAUCAGAACAUGACAUAGGAGGAAAAUGCCUAUUAGUCUGCCCAGUUAUUGUACUAUGUGCAAAAACUUACUACCACACAUAAAAACACACAGUCUACAGCAAGCUAAAGUCUGUCUAAAUCAAACGACAUAGAACUCCUCAAUGUAUAAAAGCUUAUGCAGAAAGCACAGAGUUCUGGUCAUACCUUUGCUCACUCCCAGAACAUUAUCCAAAUCCUUUGAAGUCAUCUCUUCAGGUGCAGAACAUGUACACCUAGGAAUGUAGACCAUUAAAAUAUGAAAUGUGAAACCAAAUAACAAUCAUGAAUGAUUUUAAAUGAAAUAUCCUAAAAACAAUAAAAAAAAUGAGCAACCUGCUUGAAUCCCAAGCAUUCUCUGAGCACGUCCAUUUUGGAGGGAGAAGAGCAUCCACAGGAAGAUUUCGCCAUUUGGAACAAUCAUCACAUUGAGCCCACUGUUCUUGUCCCCUGAAGGUUCAGCUAUAGAAAAUUAAAAUAACUAAUAUUGGGAACUUAGACAAGCCCGUUCAUGCAGAUUAAAAAUUCCACCAAGUGAUCAACCUUCCAGCUUGCUGCAUAACCAUAGAUGUUUCAUUGCACUAGUUGUUGUGAUGGUGAAGAUGGGAGAGGAAGAGAGGUAUAUUACAAGCUCAAAACAGAUGAAGGUUGGGAAUAGAGCUGCUAGAUCUCUGUUGCUUCCCUUGAUUAAAGAUAGUAAGAAGCAGGGAGCAAGCAGGCAAAAAGAACUUUGCCGCCAUCCAUAUCAAGGUCUAUGGAAUCAACACAUGCCUUUUCUAAUAGAAACUAACAGAGCCUCUUUCAAAAUUUGAGUACAAUGGACUACAGGAAAAUGUUGACAACAGACAACCCGUACAUUGGACAAAUGCUGAAAGAACUCCAAGAUAUCCUUUUACCAACACAUUACUGUAGUUCUUUUUCUUAAUACAGAAAGUAAUGCUAGGCAUAUGUAUAAAUCCUUACCCAGAUGAUCUAGAAGUAAAUAUGGUCCUCUUCCCAAAAACCGGAGGCUCCUAAAAGACAAAGAAAUUUGAUCAAAUAAUUAAUCCAGAAAAAAUGGUCGAAUUUGGAAAUUCAAUACUAUGAAUCCUUUGAUGCAUCAUUGCACAUAAUUUGCAAUGCAUGGGCAAGAAAAAUCAUGGAACAAGAGAAACGUACAUCAUAUUCUUCAAAUUCAUGGUCUUCAAUAGUGACAAUGGUUGGCUUCACGCUUGGGGGUGGACGAAGCAAGUCCUGUGCUUCCUCCCAUGUUAGUCUUAGCUCCAUAGCGUCUUCACUAUGCAUGAACAACCUCUUACUUUUAGGUCCAAUAUUUUGAGUCCUUUUCUUCUCUGUGGGCGCUGUUGUUUGCUGCAGUAGAUCCCCAUUUAUCCUGCCCCUGUGGUUCUCACUAUUGUUCCAGCCAAUAUCCCCAUCAGCUAAUUUCAAACGUUUGGACAGAGCAUUUUGGUAAGGAUCCUUGCUGCCUUUAAUGAUUUGAAAAGGACAGAUUAACCACUUACUGUAAGGAGAGUCUCAACAGUACCAGAAAAGGAAGUUUCCCCUGAAGCAGUGCCAUCGAGAAGACCAGAUGCCUGGACGUCCUGUUUAUUCAACAAGCAAAGUAAACGUAAAUUUUUCCACACACCAAAAAAGAGAAAAGGCAUAUGAAAGUUAAAGGAUUCAGAAUGAAGUGAAAAUGCCAAUGAGGCUCAACCUGUGUAUCUUCAUCGUUGUUUGUUGACUUGCGAAAUCCCAUGACAAGUUUGCCUCCAGGAUCUAUCCGGCUAAAUGUUACUGAGAUAGGAAAAAGAUAGCAUUCCUAAGAUAACAUUAGAGAGAAAGAGAAACACAUGACACGCAAAAGAUAUUUACUUCCACUAGAGUAAAGAACGCAAAAAUAUGACUAGUAUAAUAGAUCACACAGUGAUCAAAUGAGGUACCGUUAAUGCACUUUAAUUCUGUUGGAAAGGAUUCGAAUUUCAUACAGAUAGACAAGAUUUAAGCAGGCUAAUGCAGCUGAGAACAUCUCCCUUCGUGCCAAAACAAGUUAUAUGGUGCUCCAUUAAUUUAAAUAACUGUACCACCUUCCUGGUCCAUACAUGAUUUUUAUAUAAACCAGCUGAUUGUUAUGGCCUUAAUUUGAAUGAAGCAAUAUAUAUCUUAUAUAACUAUGUAUUAACAUCAUCCUUUUAUCAAGACUAGAAAUCAAGCACAGAGUCAUCCCCAGAAAGGAAUAGCAUAAGCUUUAUGUUAAAGCAUCACAGUUUACAAUUCAAUGUGCAAAAUAUGUUGAGCACUCAGGCAUUAAUAUCAACUUUAAGCAAGAAUAUAAUUGAUCAUACUUGUAUCACCCGCUUUUAAUUGCAUAGAGUGUAUGCAAGGGGUUACACCCUCCAACACAUACAUCCUACUGUUGUUGUUGGGCCAAAAUCUGAACUGAAACGUCCAUUCUCUCCCUUUUAUAUCUUGAAUCCUUAAAGGAAUCCCUUCAGAUUGAGAGAUAGCAGGAAAAUAUGCCUGCAAUGGCUUAAAUCUUACACAAAUACAAAAGCAAAGAGAGAAGCACAACCAAAAAAAGAAGAACAGAAAAAGGGCACAGGCUAUACAAUUUUAAACUUACUUCUGCACAUGCUUUUGGAAGAACCAAUCGACCAAUUCGACCUGCAUCACUGGCACUGAGAAUCUUCUCAAACAAUGGCACAAUAUUGGAGUUCAAACUUUUAGACAACAUGCUUAAGGAAACCACUAAUUCUGAAUCCAUUGAUGAUGAAAAAAAUACAAAUCACAGAAGCAAAUUUACCCAACAAAUUAGACUUUAAAAUAAAGGAUACUCUCCCGAUAAUUGCUGCAGCUCUUGGUCAGUUAUCCUUGGCCAAUACCGAGGAAGUAACUGAUUCUUCCCACGCCCCUCAGCAGGUGGCCUUGCAAUCCGCAGCUCAGAAGCUGCACCUAUAUUAUUCUCUGAACUCACAGAAAGGCCAGGUUUUGAGGGUUUAGGCAAUAUUGGUCGAGAUCUUUGUCCCUGUUGAAAGGAAGAAGGUGUUUUUCUUUGUUCCUUUCCUUCAACAGCCCCAUCAGGAAAGGUUACAAAAUUUGUAGUCCCAGAUGGAGCUCCCAAUGCCAUACUCAAAGAUGGCUGAGAAAGUGAACUGUGCAUAUCUCUCAAAUCUAACAAAGAACUCGUAUUGUUUGGUUUGGAAAAUUUAGGUGAUCCAAUUGAUGGUUGAGUCACAUUUGAGAAGCCUGUGCCAAUAUCCCCAAUUGCAUGCAUGAUCUCUUCUUGUCUGAAUUGCCCAAGACCUCCAUUAGUGUUGGCUCUCUUGGAGGGAUGCAAUAGACUGGGUUCAUUAGCCUCUAGAAGCCUGCACAACUGAGCAAGUCCUCCCUCAUCAUUGCUAUUACCAGCCACUGUGUUUUCAGCAGGAAUGGACUCCGAAUCACCAGCAUUAUUUCUUGCCAAAAAGCUAAAUCCAUUAGGAAUCUCAUCACUUUGCAUCUGCAUGAGCAAAUAAAGAAACUAAUGAAAGACCAUGUGACUAGAGCCAUUAAAAGCAUACUGUCUUACAGUCAGAUCAUUUAAAAUGCCAACAGCAUACAUCAUCCUAUGUACAACAACCAUAAUUUUAAGUCAUCAAAAUAAAAAUCAAGCAUGAGGAUCUAUAGGCACAUGCAAUAUUGUUUAACUAUAAUGCUUAAGGAUAAGCUUCCAUAUAUAUUCAGCUCUUUCACAAGAACACAUUAAUCAUGUCUGUCACCAAAUUGUAUAAAAGGAACAGGCAACAAUCCUGAAACCAUUUCUGGAGAAUCACCAGGACAACCAAAGUCUUCAAAGCCAUAAUGCUUGCAACCUAUUUUCACACGUGUAGCGUGUGAUCUAAUAAGCCUCUAUGAAUGACUCAUGCUUUUGACAGAAUGACCAGUAACGGUUGAAAACCAAAAGCAGUUGUUUAACCCAUUCAAACUAAUAUUCAAACACGAUGCAUACAACAAACUAGAAAUGCAAUGCAUCUUACCAAAUGAAGUCGAGAACUCCUUGCGCAGCUAGCACACCCAACACCCCCAUAAUCCAAGAGUUCAAGCAAAAACUUUGAUGCUAUGCAUCCACAGUGGAGAUGCUGCCACACAAAUUUCAAUUAGUUCUCUUUUUUUUUUUUUUUUUUGGGGGGGGGGGGGGGUGGGGUGGGGGUGGGGGGGCAUGAAUUGAUAUCAUCUGAGAAAGGUUCAACUAGAAAGGAGGGGUUUGGAAAAAGUAAUAGCUACUAGAUUAUUAGCUUACCUUGCUGCAUAUAUUGCAUUCCCUCCAUCCAGGUUCCUCUGAGUGGAAAGUAUCGCAGAAAAGGGAAUCCUCAUAUGCAGAUCUUAAGUUGAAUAUAAAGAUAGAACCCACAUCAAAUUAGCAAGUAUAUAGUGAAAAGCAAUGGAAGCAAACAUAAUGACACCAAUGGAAUGGUCAAUCAGAACCAGGAUAUUUCUGAGUUGAAGGUAAAAGCAUCUUGUAAUGCACCACAAGGUCAACUAGAGUAAAUGUUAAACUGUUGCAAACUUAUGAAAGUUAUAAGAUAUCUCGUAAUUUCACGACGCUUUCAGAAACGGGCAAGGGGUGGUUAUAAAGCUCCAUGCAUUACAGAAAUUCAGUGGAAAAAAGAAAAAACAAGCGUAACAAAUGAGCCAGUUCAAAACUGAACUACUAAAAUCUGUUGAAAGCAACUGACAUGGCAACAUCUCUAUCAAAUUUUAAAAUUUGCUACAGUUGCAGUUAAUGUGAGAAUGGAUUAUUCACUCAAAUUAAAGUUGAGCAUCCACUCCCAGCCAAAUGCAUAAGAAAGUGCAUUAUCAAAAAAAAAACAAAAAACAAUUGUCCAAGUUUAUUGCUUGAGGCUCAUUCUGCUUAAAGAUAAAAUUCGAUAGGUUCUCCUAGGAUGGCCAGCAAUUUUCCUCAGCUGGUUAAUACCAUGAACAAAAUUCAAUACACUGUGGCUGUGGCGGGUGAAUUGUAUGGUUGCUUAUAAGCCAUAAUUAGCGGCUUAAUUAUAUGCUAUAAUUAAAGAUGAAAAGUUUCCAUGAUACGAUAACAAGCAGUAGCUGAGGUAUAGCUGGUUUUGCUCGAGUACUAAUUAUCUAAUUAUAGAUGUCUUAAUAACCAUAAUCACAAUGUCACCGAUUCUUACAACAAAAGUACGAAAACACACCACAUGACAGAAAUCUAGUCCAGUGAAAACCCAAUUCACAAAAACAAGGAAUCGAUUAGCAAAAACAACAAAGUGAUGAACUAGAAACAAAACCUCACAUCCCCAAACUGCCCUUGAAGAGGCUACUUAGCUAGCAUUGGAAAUUAAAUCCAGUAUUAAAAUGAAGAGGGGGGGGAUUACCCGCAAUUGUAGCAGAGAAGAGCAUGACCACCAGAUCGCAAAGGCCAGCCUCUCUUCCAUUCAUGAGUUGUUGCAGUUUGACACGACGCAUUCAUGCAAAUCUUGGUGCCCAUUUCUUUUAUUCAAAAAAUAAAAAUCAACCCUUUUAAUUGAUAAACAACCAAUGAUUAACAAAAAAAACAAAUCACAAAGAUCCCUAAAACCCCUUCUUAACCAAAACCCACAAUUUAAUUGAAACAAAAAUUAAAACUUGACAAUCUAAUCUCUCCAUGCACAACAUUAUAAAUAAUUCCAAAAAGAAAAGUCCCAAGUCUUUAAACAAGAGAUAAUAUUUUCAGCAUACUUACCUUCAUUAACACAAAACCAAAGAGUUAGUGCGUGGUGAGUAGAGUAGAGUGGAAGAAGAGGAGGAGGAGGAAGAGUAACAGCGAACGAGUUAAGUUUGUUUGUUUGGUAGUAGUAUUAUGGAUGGGCAAAGACAGAGAGACAAAGUGUGUUUAUUUGUUUUAUAAAUAGAACAGAGAGAGAGAGAGAGAGUGCAUGCAAAUAUGCGGAAGGAAGGGAAGAGGGGAAAAAGGAAGGAUGCAUGCACGACACUUUACACCGCUUUCCUAACAAACAUUGAAGAGAAGAGAAAGGAACAGUAGUCGACUCUUUUUCUUUAACUCACUCAUUCGGACAAUGAUGGCAUCACACGGCGGUUUCGUGGGUUUUUGUGAAGAACUGUACUCAGAUGACAUGUAGAUGAGAUUGACUGUUCCCUUCUGCUAUCUUCAUGGCUACUUGUGUCCUGUCUUUUUACGGCAAUAAAACCACGGCCUGAAACUAGUUACUGUACGUUAAAGCGUGUUUUUUUAAUAAAAAAAAUAAUAUUAUUAUUAUUUUUGUAUAUUUCUUUUUCUGCAAUUAAUCUCAGAGUAAAACGUGAUUGGCUGACAAGUACUUUAAUCCUUACUCAUUCAAUUUCAUUAAAAAAAAAAAAAAAAAAAACAUUUCAUGGGAAUGGUAAUUAGUUGUUCUCUCUCAUUUUAAGCUUUUAAAUAAUUAAGGUUAAGAAAACGAGGGAAAUGUUUAACAAAGACAUGUUUUAGUCUCUUCGUGAUUAUCUGCAUGCUGCAAUGAUUUGUGUUUCCAUCUACCAAUCUUCAAUUAUUGAUGAGGAUCAUAAUUAAUCUCCAUAGCUACUCUCAGCUGUCAUUUCUUUUCCAUAUUCGGCUAAUUAAGCAGGACAUGCAUGAAGAUGAAGUUUCAAUCUACAUCAGUGUCAUCCCACUACAAUAAUUUUCUGAGCCAUGAUUAUAGCACUGUAAACAAGUUUUAUCAUGUAAACGUUCAAGUGUGUGCGCGCGCCUGGUGUGACUUCUCUUCUGUCUUCCCUUUUGUUUCAAGAAAAUCCUGCUCUAUAUAUCCUCCUGAGAUUAUAUUAAAACCUCGCUAAAAUGUGAAAAAACACAUCAUAUAUAGUCCUUGUAUAUAUGCUGAUCAUAUAUAAAUUUUCCUUUCUUCUAUUAAAUUCCCAGUAAUGGGAUGUAUAUAGUUUUGGAUUUUACAAUAACAGCAACUAUAAAUGACCAUGGCAAUAGACUUCUCUUGAUCUGUUCUUUCAACGACUUAAUUUAAUUUUGCCCUAUCCUUUUGAAAACAUUUCACUAAAAUAUAAAAAGUAAACACAUCGGUAUGCUGAUAAUAAAUCUUGAGUUUUACACCAACAACUACAAAUGACGGUGGCAAUAAAUGCAUGUUACAGGGAAGAGAUAAUUUGCUGUGAUUAAUGUACGGAUCAUGAGCUUAAAACAAUAUUAUUUAGAGCAAGUACUCUUGCAAGGAUGUUGUUUCAGAGCCCAGCACUCUUAAUAAUUUCUUGAUGAAAAACACUACGUGCCAUUAAUUAUUUAAUUUGCUAGUGAAUAAUAUUAUUUGUCGUAUAUUAAUUUCAUCUGGGGUUGGGGUUUGCAUGUGCAGGUGAUGGGAUCGGCGCCGUGGGUUAUUUAGCAUGCAUUAACAUUUUUGUUAUCCAUGCUUUAAGACAAGGAUUUUGAGCCAGGACCCGAAGAAGAAUUGGAGGAUAGAGGAUGAUACCUUCAUGCAUUGCAUGCAGAUAUAUAACACUAAAAAUUAAAGGUGUGCAAAAAACCAAAAAAACCAAACCGAGAAAAAAACCGAUUAAACCGAUUAGAAUAGUUAGAAAAAAUCCUGGUUCGGUUCGGUUUUCGGUUUUGUAAUGCAGGAACCGGUUCAAAAAAAGAUACUAUAAAUAGAAAAAAUUAUCCCCCCAGUAACCCUAGCCACCAACAGCCCCCUCUCACCUCUCCCUCUCCCUCUCCCUCUCCCUCUUUCUCUCCCUCUCCCUCCCUUAGACUUAGAAGCAGCCCCCUCUCGCCUCUUGAUCCUAGAAUGAAUCUGGGUGUAGAAGAUCUUGCGAGGCUUGGGUGCGAGAGGAUGUUGAUCUUUGUAGCUGAGAAAGACUAUUUGAUUGUUGCAGCUAAGAAUUAUUAUGGGAAGUUAAAAAUGAGUGGAUGGAAAGGAACUGUUGAACUUGUCGAGAAUGAAAAGGAAGACCACUACUUUCAUUUGCUUGAUCUCGAUAGUGACAAGGCUCAGGAAAUGAGGCAUAAGUUUGUUUCGUUUCUCAAACAUGACCAGUUCAAUCUCAAACAAGAUCUUCCUAAGUUUGUUUUUGUUUCGGUUCGGUUUCGGUUUUUUUUUCAAAAAAAACUGGUUUGGUUGUUUUUUAUAGGUAAAAACCGAACCGAACCGAAAAUGAUCACCCCUACAAAAAAUACAAGGAGAUUAAUUGUAAAAUACCUUAAUUGGAUUGUUGUUUUUUAUUAAAAACAUAUUUGGAUCAUUUGCCAUGUUAAUUUUCAUUAUAUCGUUAUGUUAAAAAAUAAUAUAAAUCUUAUCAUGGGACCUCACCUAAUAGUUUAAGUUUUUGGGAUGAAUUGACUCUUUAACAUGGUAUCAGAGCUUUGAUGACAAAGUAAUCAUGAGUUCGAAUCUCAUCAUUCUUAUUUAUUUGAUAAAAAUUAAGUACAAAAUAAUAUGAGUAUAUACAAAUUUCAAGUCCAAAAAAUUCUCACUUAAAUGAUAUAUUAAAAGAUAAUAUAAAUUAUAUAUUAAAACAUCACCUAAUAUAAAUGAUGUUUCACACAUUCUAAUUUCAUGGCAAUUUAUUGGAUUCACAGUUCUAUUUUCUUCUAUUUCAGAAGUAAGAAAACUCAUAAGCGGCUAGGUUACCAACAAUAGAUCUUGCAUUAAUAUUUUUAUGAUCCAAUCAUUAACAUGUGAUUGCAUCAAAACUAAAAGACGUGGAGAAAGAAAGAAAUCUGAUCUUGCUGUUUAUUUAAUAUUCUUCAGUGCUUUAAUUAUCACAGCAUUGCCUCCAGUCUUAAAUGUUAUUCACAUGAGAAAUUAACAUGAUGAAUUUAAAGAAACAACUUAUUAGCCUGGGGGCCAUGGCACCCCAAGUUUUGAUAUUGCUCAAUUUGACCCUUACAUUUUAGGGCUAUUUCAAUAUAUCCUUGCAUUUGCCCCCAAACUUGUAGUUGGUCUAAACUCUAAGUCCUUUCUUGUUCUAUAUUUCUAUCAAAUUCAUCCCUCCUCGCAAAAUUCUAGUUGAGAUAAAUAUAUUAAUUAUCAAUUAAACCACUAAAAUCACAUGCAAGAAAUUAUUCACAAUAAAAACAUGGUUUAAUUCAAAACUUUAAAACUUGGACUAGCUUAUCAAGUGACUUAAUUAAAAACCGAAUAAAUAAAUAAAAAUAACUAACCUAAUCAAAACCCAUUCAAAAUAAUAUCGUUUAAAAUUAGAUUAUCCUUCCCUGGUAGAUGAAACCCCAACCCGUCGCCAGGUAUGGCAACAAUGGUUGAAUAACUACUGUGUUUUACUUUUACAAAUCAGACACCUGAAAAUCACCAUGUAAUCUUAAUAGAUUACACGCAGGACCCACCAACUACCUGAUCUUAUAUGGGCCUAACGGUUUAGAAAGAUGGACCCAAAUUUCAACUAUGGGCCUAUAAAAAGCCCUUUAAGAUUUUGCGUUUAAAAUAUUUGCCGGGAAACACACAGAGAUUUCGCGGGGAUGUCAAAAAGGUUCUAUUUAUUCCUUGUUUGGAAUUUGAAAAAUAUAAUCUCAGUCUCUGCUGCUAAACCCUAAAGCCCUUCAAAAUUCACCCCUUCCAAGAUCUUGGGUUGCUUUUUUAUUUUUCUUAAAGGUAAGUCUAUCUGGAUAAUCUUUGGCUUGGUUAAAUUAUCUGUUGCUAAUUAGUCUUGAAGAUAAGCCAUGUUUUUUUUCUCUUCCAAGAUGUUUCAUUUCUUGAAUUUUGUGUUUAUGCAUGUUUUUUCCCUUCAAGAUUGUCUUCUUAUGUAUGUCUUAGUCUUUUGUUGUUGAAAUCGUGAGAAAAUAAUGGAAUUCUGCUUUAUUGAUGGGAUUCAAAUUUUAUAUCCUGAGAAAUCAGACCCUUUUGGAUUUUACAGUUGGUGAAGAAGAAAGAUGCUAAAGACUGCAAUGAGCCCGGCACGCAGUUGUUCAGGUAAAAUUCAAGGAGGGUUCUUACUUGUUUUACUUACUUAUGCUGAUUUGGGUUAUUAUAUUCAUGGAUUGUAGGGUUGAAUUGUUUGUUUUAAUGUUGAAACCCAGAUCAUUGUGCUGCUGGUUCGAUUGAGGAAAAGGAUGCUAUGAGAGUUUGGCUGGAAUUGAAACAAAAUGGAUUUCUCUCGCCUUCGCCAUUGUCUCUGUCUGCCUCAAAGCCAAUGCCAAAGCCAAAGCCUGCUCCGAUGCCAAAUAAGAAGCGAGAGAGACAUAGAAAUGCUGGGUUUAGUGAAAAACCGGAGAUUGCAAAGGUGCGGCGAGUUGAUGAGUUGACUAAGGUUGCUGCGUCUGCUUCUGGAUUGCUCAAGAAAAUUAAUCCAGGGACCACACCUUCCGUUGGCAUGCUGCCAACGCCAAAAAAGCACAGUGAGAUGCGUAGGAUUGGUGGACCAAAGGGAUUAUUGAAGGUUUUAAAGGUAGAACCGACUAGCAUGUGCUCUCGGAUCUCUCCACCAUGUGGGUUGCUUAAUGAGUUCAAUCCAGGGAUCAUAAAUCGGAUACGAAGCCGUAAACAGGUAUUUUCAGUGAUUCGGGAUUUUGUUAGAAGAGAUACAAUAGGAAAUAUUGACAUCCCAAGUAAGCAGGAAAAGAGAUCCGGGGAAAAUGAUGUGAUUGGAUGCCCAAAUAGUUCAUCAGGAAGUGACCAACUGGGACUAUGUUCAAAGGGCCGAAGUGACCAUUUGUGUGUGAAAACAGAAUAUGAUGAAGAGGUUGGUGAUUUGGGGAUAGCUGUGAGAAGGGCAGACAAUGAAGAUGACAAAGAUGAAUUGAAGUCAUCCCUAUCUUCAGUUACAGCAUCUGAAAAUGCAAGCAGUUCUGUUCUUGAUGAGGUGUCAGCAAGCACAGCAAGGGGUUCUUCUCUUUCUCUAGAAGGUUAGUUUCAAUUUUGAAGUUAAAGCCUAGCCUAGUUAAGUUUUCAAAGCUGCUUGUAUAUAAUGAACAUCAGUGAUAUCUGUAUAUAAAGUACAAAAGAUUUUCUUUUUCUCAAAAUUCCACGCGCAGCAAAAUUUUCUUACUCGGAAAAACUGGAGAAGACAUCCUUUUAAUGUCUCAGAUUUACCUUACUGAAGUUAAACAUUAGCAUCUAAUUGUUGAGAAUGAGGGCAUGUACUUUUAAUGUCUCAGGUUGCUUUGAGUAGAAUUCCCAUCUCCGCUAACUGUGACGUGUAAAGCAUACAUUUUUUAUUGAUUUAGUUUUUUUGGUUCCCAGAUGCUACUGCAGCUUCUCAAUGGUUGCAAUGUCUUCGCCACGACAUCACAUGGCGUCUUGAAGGUGCAUUGCUCAUUUAAACUUGUCUGGUUGUUUGUUAGAGUAUAUAUUUGCUUGUAUACCAUAAAGCAUCCUUUGUUUCCUUUUUGCUGCCAGCAUCGACGCAUGGUAGAACGAGGAUUCAAAAUGCAAUCCAGAGAGAAUUCCCUGCCCUUAUGCUCAAAGAAUUUUCAGUUGACCAAGAAACUGAUUUCUUGGCUGCCAAAAGGUUUGUUUCUUUAAGCAUGGAUGUCCAUAAAGCAAAGUGGAUAAAUCAGUUUGACCGGAUGGAUAAGACACCCAAUGAAGAGGCGGAUCGACUGGUCGGUAAUUAAGCAUGUCACUGGAGUUCCUUCAAGACACUAAUGGCCAUCCACUCUGCAGAAUUUUAUGAGCAUGCACUUAGAUGAAGAUUAUCAUCUAAAAUGACACUUACACUACUGAAUGCCCAACAUCAAUUCUAGGAACUAUGGUUGAACCAGGUAAUGGAAAUGCAGUCGCGGAACUAUGAAGCUUUUCAUGUCUUAAUCAGUAUACAAGACGUCAACAUCAGGACAUCAAACUUUACUCUUCUUUUUCUGUUUUGUUGAGGUGGUUACUCAUUACCGUGUUUGUGCUUUGAAGGUAGAUAUGGCCGGCUCUUCUUCAUCAUCACCAUCAAUGGGGUUUGAUUUUGAUGAGAAACUACAUGUUUUAGCUGUUGAAGCUGUUGAUGAUGGCUUGAUAGAUCGGAAAGCUAUUGAAAGGUUACUCAUCAACUCUGAAUAUAAAGGUAUGGUAUGGUAUGAAAAUGAUGUAAUUCCUUGUGGAUGUGUCUAUAUAAUCUCUUUUCUCUAUCUUUUCACUUAUUAGCAUUUCUUUUUUUAGUAACUUUGUUCUUUAUCUGUUGGUAUAAUUUGUUACCAAAGAACAUUCUAUAACAUAUUUUAUCUCUUUUAUAUUUUAGUUUGUCCAUGGGGUUUUGGUGAACCUUGUUAUAAGUUUCCUAGUUUCUACCCAUGGUUUUGUAGGAGCAAAGACAGCUGAUUCUGAUAAAACGGUACUUUCUCUUUCAUAAUCUGAUGUCUAAGCAGAGUAAAUGGCAUCAUUUGCAAAAGGGAACAGAAAAGACUCGAAAAAUUGAUCACGCUGGCUAGGCUUUCACUGCUGCAAGGACUAGCUAGUCUAAUGGACUGCUGCAAGGACUAGCUAGUCUAAUGGAGAACAUGAUUUCCACUUCAGAAGGUGGUCAUGUCACCAUGGAAGUACUUAACAGGGUCACAAAUGCAGGACUCAUUUCCAAAGUGGACGAUGGUAAAAGACUAGACCCCACAUCUUCUGUUUUGAUUUUUUUCAUUUUGAGGAAAUUGAAAAGGAAAACAACAAUUUGAUUUGUUGUCGUUUCUUCUCGAUUUGUUUGGACGCUAGAGAGGUAGGCAGCAAGGGACUAGGGCUGUGUUUGUUCCGUAGCUGGUUUCAAAAUUUGAGUUUUUUUUUUAAUUAUUUUUUUUAUGUUUUUGAAUUGUUUUGACAUACAAAUGUGAAUUUAAAAAAAUAAAAAAAUAUAUUAUUUUAAUAUAUUUUCAAAUAAAAAUAUCACUAAAUUUAUACAGUGACCACAGCAGAAAAUAAAAAGAAAGCAAUUGAAUAUUUGGGGUUAGCUGAUGGACAUCACACCAAUCACGGUGUAAGCAAAGUAGUCAUGCAAUGAAGGACUGAUUCUAGCUUUCAUGAAUUUAACUCUAUCAUUUCUAACUCGUUUUUUUUUGGUGCAGGACUUGAAGGUGAACCUGAUCAUCACAGACUAUUGCAUGCGAGGAAUGACAGGGUAUGAGUUAUUGAAAAGAAUUAAGGUAAAUAUUAGUACUCGUCUUCAAUGAUGUAGCCUCCACUGUAAUUUCUAAUCUAUUCUCGCUAACAGGAAUCACCUACCAUGAAAGGAGAUACCAGUAGUUGUAGUGUCAUCUGAGAACAUCCCUACUCGAAUUAAACAGUAAUUGCCUGCCUUGCAGUUUCAAUUUGUUUCUUCUCUGGUUUAAUUUUGUCUUUUAAAAAAAAAUGAAAGAAAGAAAUCAUUGAUUUAUCAAAUAUUUUCCACCUAAACAGGUGCAUGGAGGAAGGAGCUCAAGAGUUCUUGCUAAAGCCUCUUCAGCUAUCAGGCGUGACAAAACUGAGUGCCAUAUAAAAAAGCAGAACAAUCCAUCACAAGGAGGCUUUGCAGGGGAAGAUGAACAUGCAGAAAAGAUGUCAAAAGGAGAGACAUGAAAGAAAAAAAUUUGAUUUUGGGGAGUAAUUCUAGGACUACUGCAAUCAAUAGAAGUGUGUUAUACACUAGACUGUUUCAUCCCUUUUGUUAACAUCUAAAGUAGUUAUCUAUAUAUAAGGAGUUGUUUGCCUUUUGUUUCUGCUUAAUCUGCAUUUGUAGAUAAUUUCUUAUUUUGAACAUGGAAUUUGUUAAAAUUGAAGUUCCAAGUUUAUGAGUGCUUAAUAUUAACCCAGAAGCAAGUGAACAGAUGAAAGUCUACAGAAAAAGAAAAACUAAACUGUGCAUCACCAGACAUGUUUGAUUCUGUACUCAGUUACAGGCGCGAAUGAAGGGACCUGAGGCCAUUAAAUGCACACAAGUGAAUAGGAGGGAUUGCAUUGUGUUUUUCUUUCCCUCAGUCUCAAAAGAAUCUCUAUACCAAUUGCAAGGAAGAAUAUACCUUCCUUAAGGUGACUGUACAGAAGCCUCCCUUGGUGCCUUCUGCACACAAAGAAGCUGGAGAACGUAGCUUUUUAGCAUCAUCACUGGGGGAGAUGAAUCAAGACGAUUACCAUCUCUGCUUAUUUUUCUGUCUUCAGGCCCUUCAUUUUCUGCUUUUGUAUUAAGAUGAGUCAAGCUUAUUGGUUCAACAACAAUAAAAUCCAAGCCUCAAUCCAAAACAAGCAUAUUAGUACAAAAAAUAAGUGUAAGAAAGAAAGAAAGAAAGAAAGAAAUGGCAAGGAAGGGCCAUUAAUCAAUUCAAAAGACUUGAGACUUGGCUAUUCAAGACUGAAGGCAAAAUCUUGAUACCUUUAUUCCCCUUUGGGCAUGGAGGAGAAACUUCAGCAUCAUGGUGAUAUCUGACAACAUAAUGGACCGCUUUAGAAACCACACUUUACAAGUUUAAAUAUAAAGCACGAGAAAGAGGGUAUGGCACAUAGUUCAACAAACGUACUCUUUUUUAUCAACACUGCUUUCAGAUUUGUUAGGGAUCUUCACAGAUGAUGAUGUCUCCAAAGGUUCAUCUUUUGCAUCCUUGCGGUCAGGACCAUUAUCCACAGAUUCUAAUGCAUCCAUUGGCUUCAUGUUGUUUCCAACAUGGCCGUUCCAUGUCUCGACUUUUUCAUAAUUGGUUUGCUGAAAUUUUGAUCUAUUUUUCUUUUCUUUGCUUACACUUUCCUUUGCUGAUAACUCCAAAACCAACUUCUCUCCAUGAGAAGCAGCAUCUUCUGAUGAAAAAUCUGGAGGGUUGCCUUUGAACUCAAAAUCUGGAGGAUCCCGAGUAAAAUCUGCCCUGGUUGCCCCAAACUCAACCUUCGAGAACAUAGGGGAAUCAUGAGCGUGCAUACUACUAGAUUUUUGGCAGAAGGCGGACUUUUCAGAGAUAAAACUGUCAGAUGGUGAAUGUUUAACAGAGCCACCAUGUUUGGAGGUGUCAAAAGAGAAUUUGGCAUCAAUUUGUGGUUCAAGGACAAAGGCAUCAAAAGUAUCUUCAGUCCAAGGCUUGGAGCCUGACAAAGGAUGCUUUGUUUCUGAGGUUUGGCAUGGUGAACUGAAACCCAUAUUCAUAUCUGCUGACCCAUAUCCUUCUUUAAACAUCCAACUCCUACGUGACCCUAUUUUCUCCUGGAAAGGACAAUCUAAGUUGCUUGACUCUGAUAGCAUUGGGGUCUGUGUGGAUUUUCCUGAUCCAAAUACAUUAUUUCCUUUCUGAAUUUCUUCCCUAUUUUUGAAUUGUCUUCCCUUGAGAAAAAUGCUUUUAGUUCUGCAAUUGUUUUCAGGGAAACCAGAAGCAUUUUGAUGCCUUUGGCUGCGUCUUGCUCUAGAGUUUGAUGGCGAAAUAUCUGUCACCUUGUCCCUCACUGCCUCUGGAAAAAGUCACUUUAUUUAAAUAUGAGCUUUAGAACAAGCUGAAUCAUAAAACCCUCAUACCCAAUAAAAAUACACAACCUGCAGUGGACGAGCUCGACUCUUCACUGCCAAAUAUUUACGAAGGUAAUGAAACAUCAGUUGAAUUAGAAAAUGAAUUAAGUAAGGGGGCAGGUGUGGAGAACUACUAACAAUUACCUCAACAAGCUCUGGUUGUCUCUAGCAUCUUCUGUGAUAAAGCAAGACCAAUCAGGUUGGAUGGUUGUAUCUCCAAAACCAAAAUUCGUUCGCAGUGAAGGCUUCCUGUCAUCAUGCGAAGGAAAAACUGUGGUGUAUAUAUGCUCAAGUUACUGAGAUAAUUUCACAUAAAACUUGACUUACCUUGCCGCCCUUUCAGAAAUCAUGAAAUCAAAACCAGUUUCAGGUGUUCGAUGCUUCAGAGAGGGUGAAUCUGAUUAAAAGAACAGAGAACAGUCAGUGGAGAGGAAAGGGGGCCCUUUUCUCAUGAAUCUCUCAAUCUUCUAUACCAGAUAUGCAAUCUAAUACUAGCGGAAGGACAAAAACAACAUCCUUUCAUCAUCAUCAUUAAAUUGGUGAUCAUGACAACAACAAUCAAACAGGAGGUAAAAGUCAUUUGAGCAUAUGAUGCCACAAUGGUAGAUCUUAUAGGAAGAAUCCCAGUCCAAUUGGAAUCUAACUCAUAAGACCUUUAACACAACAAGCAACCAAAACCAUGGGACCAAGAAAAGAUCUACUAAACAGCCAGUUAAUAAUCUAUUAUAUAAAAUGAUAAAUAAUCUAUUAUUAAGAAAAAAAGACAAACAAAAAGAAUGGAGGACACUAUCCAAAUGAGAAACUGCUCCUCUGUAAGAAAUUUCAUCAGCUACUAAAUAUUUAAGUUCACACUCAUUCCCAAGACCAUAAGCAAGAAAUGAGAGGGAUUCAGCCAAAAAAACAAAUUAGAAUUUUUAAAAGGUACAUACCAUGGCAGAAAAAUAAACCACACAAUUAUUAUAUAUUUCAUGAUUAUGAUUCUAGAAAAAAAUGAAAAAAAUUGUUUCAUUUUCAUGUAUUUUUUUAAAAAAUAGCAGUAUGAACAGAGGCAUGAUACGAAAUCCAAGUAGCUGAAAGAGAAAGCACCUAAGAUAUUGAAUGCUUCCUUGGCAAUUAUAGAAUCCCUGCAAAAAUAUAAAUAUAAUACCAUAUGAUCAAGAAGCAUGCAUUAUAGUUUGUCAAAACAGGUGGAGAAAGGUCAGGUGUUGAUUAAACACCUUUUCUUCAGCAGAUGACAACCUUCGAAAGCAUCAUCUGGCAAUCUAUCAUUUCCGUAUUUCAGAAAUUCAGCAGAAUUACCAUCCAUAGAAUAUGGCCAGCUAUUCCAAGAAAUAUCAAAUCCCCUCUUAUCAAGAAAAUUGGCAUCCCAUGACCUACACCUUGCUGGAAAGUAAAAAGGUAAAUAAUUAUUCCACACUGGGAUCCUUGGAGAACCACAGGAAGGACUAAAAAUCAACUAUAAGAACAGCUGAUUAAAAUCACUCUGGAGAUGUAAAUAAACAAAAGCUGACCAUAUCCCCAACCUCAGUUUCACCCCAGAAAUCAGCAUUAAACAUGAAAGCCAUAAGAACAGAACUCAAAACACCCCAGAAGUCCAUAUCCAACAUGAUAUUGAAGGAAAAAAUAAUAAUGAUGUCCAUGAUUCAGAAGUUAAUUGAGAAUUUUAUAUCUCAAAAGUAAUUUUUUUCUUCUCUUUUUUUUUUCCUUUUCCUUUCUUAAAAGUGUAAUCAUUGAGACACAAACCUAGAGCCAAGUGAAAUGCCUUAAAUGUCUCUCCAGAACUAGGUAAGGUUUGUUUAAUCACAUACAGUCGGUUUUGAUUGUCCUUCAGCAAGUGCAAUAUUUUCAUCCAGUGGCAAUAACAAAACCUAGAUGCAUGUAAAACACUAAGAAACCACCGUUUAAAAAUUUAAUAAGACUACAGGAAGGGUUUUUGAACUUGGAUAUUACAAAUUUCUGAACUGCAGGAUAUUGCAAAUUGGUUCAUGAAAAACAAGCAUAAAAGGCAUAAUCCAUGAAUGAGAUAAAAAUAUUAAUUGCAUGAAUGAAAAAGCAAACCAAAAAUUACCACCCCAUGUAUCAUCGUUAUUCUCAGUUUCACCAAAUGAGUUCCUCAUUCUACCAUGGCCAUCAAGUUGUACACUUUCUGUGAUGGUAGAUAAAUUAUUAUUUAGCUUGCAAAACGAAUCCUCAAUCUCCAUUGAAAAUUCCGAAGGAUGGCCUCUUAGUGGCAUGUCAACAUGUUGCAUUAUUGCAUCCUGCAUAUGGCAAAUCACACUAAUCAAUUGCAAAUCUCUCUCAAUGAUAUUGAUAUUGUAGAAUCAAUUAUUCUUACAGAGUUUUUUUAGGUUUCAUGCAAUGACUGUUAUACUAAUGUUGCAAAUAUAAAUUAUAAUGGGUAUAAAAAGAUACUUUACAUAUUUAGUUUAUAUAAUGAGAAAGUAUACUUGAACUAUUUUUCUUAUAGAUUUUUGGUUUCUCUAACAUAAAGUUCCAAAAAUCUUUUUAUUUUUUGUAAUAAACUUUUUAUAAAUGAAAAUUAGAAAUAUAAGGAUAUCAUUAUGAAAAUGAAAAUGUUGAAAAGGUUUUUUCAUAAUGCAAAUUUGAGAAGUGUGAAGUUAGAGAAUAGUUCAUUCACAUUAAAAAUGAUAGAAGAACAUAAAAAAAUAAAAUAAAAUUGAUGUAAAAACAUUAAGUUGAUUUUAGUUGUUUAGCAAGUAUAAAUUGCCACAAUUUCAUUUUACAAAACUAUUUUUCAUAAUAUAUAGUAAGGAAAAUCUUAUUAAUUCCUGACUUGAACUAUCUUUGAAAUGAAUCCAUUCAAUAUUAGCUAAUAAGUGAUAGAAAGAUAAGUGAGCAAAUUUCCAUUAAUUAUUUAGAUUAUAACAUUGCAUUAAAUUUUCACUUGAAUUGAUUUAAUUUCACGAGCAACAUAAGUGGAGCAAUAGAGAUAGAAGACAAUGAUGAUUUAUCAAUAAAAAAACUGCUCAACAAAAAAAAAUCAAGAAGGAAAAAAUUAGCUAUAUUAGUCUUUAGAAAUACGAAAAGUAUGAUUUAGAAAGAUAUAUAAAUUAAAAUUCAUAGGAGAUAAAUCCUGUUAGAAUUUAUCAUGCAUGAAAAAUGAUUUAGUUAGUUCAAUUUGUUACAUGCAUGAUAUUGGCUUUAUCAUCCAAAAACAACUUAGGUUUUUAAAAAUUUAUAUGAUAUAUGGUAUAUCCAAAACUACAUUCUAAUAUUCAAAAAGAGAUGGAGAGAAUAAAAUCACCAUGCAUGGCCACAUACAAAGCGUGUUUAAAAAAACUAGUUGACAUAAAACAUGCAGAAGGUAAACAGCAAAUGAAGUAGAAUCUUUCAUACAGUUUAAAGGGCAUGCAUAAGUUUCUGAAGGAAAGACAGGAGUUAUUUACUAAAAUGAAACAGAAAAUUAAAGGGGAGAAAUCAUAUGAGAUAUAACCAAGGAAGAAAUUUGAUGUCAUACUUUAUGGAGGUGUACUCAGUAAAGCACUUACCACUUCAACUUCAAGGUCAUUCAGAACAUAAUCAAGGUUCUUUGAUGAGCUUAUUUGCCUUGCAGCCUUCAAUGGUGAGGGGCAGCCAUAGGAAACAUAUCUAUAGUCACAUGAAAAUUCACUUAAAUGGUGUUCAAAUUCAUAGCUUAUUCUCCAUGUAGAGUUUCUUCAACUUGAUAAGCAAGAUAUAAUUGCAGCUCUAUACCAUAGAGAUUAAAACUAAGUGAAAGAAAUAACACGCAAAAGAGAAACACAAAAAUUUCUAUACAUUUGUCAUGCACGGACAUGAUACACUCUACUGAACUUUCCACCUUGAACAAAAAAAAAAAUCAGAUCAACUAUAUUGGGCACAAUUUUAAUAUGUCAGCAGUCAACACAAAUUAUAUGGGAAUAUUUUAUGAUAUAUGUAUUAUUUCAACUUCCUUUAUAGCAUCAUCCAAUAAAGUGGCAUAAUACUCGCAUGUUAAUAAUAUCCCCUGAAAAGAUUUCCUACUGGUUUCAAUUACAAUUAUAAAUACAGAAGGGUCCUGCAAGAUCAAGAUGGCUGCAGUUUUUAAAAUUAAUUUCUCAUAGCUUUCUUCAGAAAAAUAGACGCAAAUUCCACUGGGAGUGAAAAAUACAGGCACAAGCCUAAAUGGGUUCAAGUACCUGUCAGGUUGUCGCGGUGAGUAGGGGGGUGUUUCUGCUCCCACUUUGCCCAAACCUGACAUGCAAAUGCAGGCAUCAAAAUAGUUUUGUGGAUGACAGAACAACAAUGACAAGUGUGGAAGAAUGAUAUAUAUUUACUCAUAGGUUACAGAACUCUGUUAAGCCAGCUUCCAUAGCAAAUUGUAGAAAUUGUUAAACAGGAAGUAAUACUAAGAACUUAGGUAUUUAGAUAUGCAUGCCUAAUACCUAAACUAUAUACAAUAGGGAAACAUUGUACCUAAACAGAAAUUGAUAACAACCUUUGAAAUUAUUUUCAGAAAAAGAUUCUCCCCUAAGAACAUCCAGAACUAUUUUUUUAGCACCCAGUCAAGUUUCAGGGAAAAUGGAACUAAAAGGGACAGAAAAUUUGGAGAUAUAUGUAGAGAUAGCUGUAAGAGAGUGUAUGCAGAGGUGUAGCACGUGAACCCUGCACACUCUUCGUGAUAAAUAAAGGUAAGAAAAUGACGGAGAUUGCAUUUAUAAGGGUGAUAUGUGAAGGACUAAUAGGUCUUUUGAAUGACUUUCUGUUAUUCCUCGCAUAUUUCUUGGUUAUCUUAUAUCUUGAAAGAUUUUCCAGUUUCCUGCUUAUCGCUGAAGUGGUGAUGCCUUCAGCUUUAGAAGAGAAAUUAAAGCAAAAACCAUAAACUUCUGGAGACACUAUUGGAGAAGAUGCUUUGUUUUGUAUCGUACAUUAUAUGCCCCAAGAUCCAGUUGACCAAAAAUUUAAGUGAAUUCAAUUGAAAGUGCAACAAGUGAAGUACUAAUCUUGCCUUCAAAUUCCAAAUCAACAAGACCAUACCUUCAACUGAAAAUGCAACAUGAGCUUCACGUGCUGGACUUCCAUCUGACUUUCCAUUUGGUUCAUCAUCAGCAAGCAAAUCAAAAACAGAUGAUGCUGGAAAACAAAUCAGGGAUGAAAGAAAAAGAGUUACGAAAAUUUCCAAAGCAUACAAAAAGCUGCUUAACAGCAGAAGACCUUAACUGACGAUCCCUAGAAACAAUCCACGAAUAAAUUUCCAGAAGCAACUACAAUGAGAGCUGUAUACAAAGAAAAACUAUUGCCCGAUGAAUAUUUGCUAUUUACAUUGCUGAGUUGUCAUCUUGCAAGGAUCCAUUUUGUUUUUGCUGCUGGUUCCACUGAAAGCUUUGCUGCGAUUAUUUGAAGAGCUAAACAGAACCCUGUAAUAAAAUGAAAACCAAUUCAACACUAGGACUGGACCAACAGAUGAUGCUAGAUGUGUCUAUGUCCACUUUGGAACCUUACUGGAUGAAGUGCAACAUGAUGAUAGAAGUUAACUAAUUUGUGUCAGUGUAAAGUUGUAUGGCUUUGUUGAGUAUAACUGAGCAAGUAGAAGAGUGUUUCAUAAAAUCAAAACCAUGUGCAUGCACUCUCAUCACACCCUUACUCACUUCUUCGGUGAUACAGUCUCCGGUUGGUAGCCUGAUAGAGUUCCUUUCACAAUAAUAACAGCAAUCACUAAACAUCAUUUAGCACUUUACAAAGUCCAGAAAAAUUAGAAAACAAGGCAUGAGAUCACGUAGCAGUGCACACAAAUUAGGAAAAAUACUUGUUUCCAUGAUUUCAGGAGACUGCAGAGGACCGAUAGGGUUGGCUCGAAUUAUUGGUGGAUCCUUGAAGAUAUGGGAGUUGACUGUUGAAGCAUUGACCUUUGCAUCUUCCCUUCCUUAAGUGGGACAUGAAGAAAAUAGCAGAAAGAGAAAGUUAACAAAAUUAGAAAAAGACGGGAAAAUGUCACGGAUUUCAGAAGGGCUACCAGGGUGGCAAGUAGACGUGCAGUCUUUAGCAAUUGUUGACCAGUUCUGCAAACUAAGAACAUCCAAUGAUCGAUGAUGUUCUCUGCAAUUCUCCCCUCGAAUGUUAACCCCUUCUUCAAAGCUGUCUAACCCAGCUGCCUGCUGAUGCUGUUUCCUUCUCCUUUGUUCAAAAUACUGCUUUUGCCUAAGCAAAUCACAUAAAGGUACAUACACAUUAUACACUAAUGCCUAAGUAAUGCAAUUCUCCAAAAUAUUAGGCAUUGAUAUUAACCCUAAAAUCACAAAAAAAUAGAAAUUUUAAAAUAAAAAGGUUUCCAAUCCAUACCUCUUCUGAGUAGAUCUCCUUGACUUAAAAAUUUUAUCGAGAGAUGACAUGAAAUGAUGCAAAAAAGACAGAAGAUUUAUUCACUUGGGUUAGAAUAUAGAGUGCAAAUUCAAUACCGAUGAAUCCAUACAAAACUUGCAAUUAAGAGUCCCGAAGAGAAAUUCAGUGAAGCUAGGGGGGGGGGGGGGGGGCGUACAGUAGUGACUUUCCUUCUUGAUCCUCCCAUCCAUUGCAACAUUUGCACGCUUAAUAUUAUUAUCAGAAAUAGUAAGAUUGCAAGCAAAAGGCUCUCUGAUAAUAAACUCAAAUUUCAUACGGAGCAAAAUGAUCCAAUCAGAUGAAUCUAAAGCGAAUUGACGAAACCUAGACGAAGAAGAAUACGAAGAAGAAGAAGAAGAAGAAGAAGAGAGGACGCUCAUUCAUUGAUGGAGUGAGUGCUGCUUGAUUAUUUUUGAGUGCUAAAUGCUGAGAGAGCGGAAAGAAACUGUUUGGUUCUGUUUUUCUAAAAGGCGCCAACUUAUAAUUAAAUUAAAUAGGACUAUUUGAGCAUCCGUUCGUAGAUGACUAGUCGUUGAGGACGACAAAUGAUUAGUUUUUAGUAUAUUCAAGCCAGUUUGUCUGUUACAUGAAACUAAAAGGUAAUAGCUUGAAAAUUCAAGGUUUUUUUUUUUUUUUUUUGUAGUUCUAGGUUUGAGCCCUGUGGUUGCUCACUGGAGAUUUAUAUGGUCGUUAACUUCAGGACUCGUGGGAUUAGUCGAGGUGCGUACAAGCUGGCCCGGACACCCACGUUAAACUAAAAAAAAAAAAAAGGUAUGUUUGUCAUGAAUUAUAAAAUAUAAUUUUUAAUUAUAAUUAUAAUUUAAAAGUUACUUUUCAUUAAUAAUAUAUGAUAAAAAUAAGUUACGUACGUUAAAAGUAUGUUUUAUAAAAAUGAUUGAAAGCAAUUUUUUUGACAAAAGAAGUUUGUAUAAGUAGUUAGCAUUAAUAAGUCAAAAGUUAAAAAUUUUAAUUCUAAGCUAAUUUUAUAACAAAUAUUCUAUACAAAUAAUAAAUUGUUUUUAACCAUUCAUAUUUAUAAUUUUUAUCCAUGUUCAACUAUAUAAAACAACUUAAACUAAUUUAUAAAAAUCAUAGUAAGAAAAUCUAUAAAUUAUUUUUUUGAAAGUAUUUAAAGAAUCGAGUAAAUCAGCUAGGUUAUGUUAAGUUAAUUUUAAAAUAAUUUAAUUUUAAAUUUGAAUUAUAAAAAAAAUUAAAUUAAAAAAUUUAAAACGUUCUGUUAAGUUUAAUAAUAAUACUAAAUAAUUUUUUAUACUCUGAAUAUUUACGAGCGAUCCUUGCAUCUCUUUAAAGAUUACGAAAUUACAAUAGGGAAAAAAAUUAUGAAAGCAAUUUUCUUUAAUUUUGCGGGCUCGAGUUAGGUGAAUGAAUCAUGAAUAUAUAUGGCUAGCACCUCUGGUGUUCGAUGCUUCCCAGUUCCCACUUGUGGGGGUUUGUCGUAUGUUUAUAGCAAAUAUGGUACUGUUGGGCCAUGCGUUGACUUGGCUUCGGGCCUAUUUCCUGUUUUUUUCAAGGGAAAAAAAAAUCCAUUCAUUCAAUCUCUUGUCCUGGUCAAAGAUGGUGGCAUGCUGUGUUACUUCAUGAGGUCUGCAAAGAAUAAUGGUAUUUACAAUUAUUGAAAAAUAAAGAAUACAUGCAGCAGGAAGAAAUAAUAUAAACAUAUUUAAAAAAAAAAAUAUAUAUAUAUAUAUAUGAUUAUGCUCUUCCUCCGGGUUGAACCCAUAAAUUAUUAGGCCUAGAUAUAUUACAUGGUUCAUGAGUUUUUUAGUGUCCGAGAAGUUUUUUAAACCCGUUAAAUUUAAGUAGAUCACUUGCCUCCUACAAUUAUGUCUUGUUACCUUAGUUAAAGGCGGGAAGAUAUAUGGGAAAAGGCUAUGGAAGUUGAAAGGAGAGGAGGAAGAGCAAGGACUAAGGGAAUUAAUUGAAGGGUUGAGGAGACCGGAAGAAGAGCUCGGAGAGAAGCUUUAAUUUGGUGGUGAGCACUUGUUUCAAUCACGUUGCUGGUUCUGUGCUUUUGAGGAUUUUAGCAUCGAUGUAGAGCGUCCAAGGAUCACAGCAUGGGCCACCUGCAAAGGGAAGGUGUUUCUAGCUCUCCUCCUCGCCCGCACAAGAUCUCCGGCUAUAUAUUAAAUUAUAUGAAAUUGCAGGCAGUUUUUUUAAAUACAAUUCUUCCUUUCUGAGAUCUCUUUCUCAUUCUAUGCAUUUCAUUUAUUUAUUCAUGAUAUUUUUUUGUGAGGUGAUUUUUAUAUGUUAAUUUUAAGUUUUUAAAGUGCACUGAUAAACUGUCCAGGCAAAGAACUACAAUCUAGGAAACAAAAAACUAACACGACUAGGAAACAAACAGCAAACUAGAAGAGAAAUAACAAACAACCAAUCAUAACAGACAUGUGCUUCCAAUAGUUGCCUCCUGUGCACCCACUAGCAGACCACGUGAUGUCUUAAGGGACACCUUCCUACCCAAACCAGUAGCUCAUGAUCAUAGUACAUCAGAGGUCAUGUGCACAGGUUUGACCAGAAAUGUAUACAAAAGAACGUAAUGCUCAAGUGAUGAAGAAAUAGAGAUUUUAAUGGAGUUUUCAAAGAGUUACACAUUUCAUGACGAGCAUGGAAAGGUGCUCAAUCAAAAUCCUUAUGCACACCGAUAUGAGCUCCUUUCCAAACUGUUCGUGGACUCCAUGUAAAAGGGGGAAUUCACAGCGUAAGGCCCAAGGUACAGGAAAUUAAAUAUAAACUUAUUGCAGAGUCUUAAAAAAAGAUCCCUUCUGAGUUCAUAGCUUCAUAGAUUUACAGUGACACCCCCAUUAUAUCAUAAUUAGACAAUUCCAUCUGGAUCCCGCAUCCAAAACCAUCCCGCUUUUCUUCUUCAACAGUCUUACAGUAACAAAACACCCAGAAAAAAAAAAAAAAAAGUGUGAAAUGAAAUUAAAAGGACCUUGGCUUUGCAACAAUAGUGGAGUGCUUCAAUAUGUGCAAACUGAACUGUCCACCUUUCUCUGCGGUGUCGAUCUUUGACUGUCCGGGAGGAGGCAAGAGCUCGAAAUUCUGUACCAGACGUCCCAGAGUAAUGCCAAGAAUUGGCAAUGCAAGAAUAAUUCCAGGACAGCUCCUUCUCCCAACUCCAAAUGGAAGGUACCUGAAAUCAUUGCCAUUGGCCUCAACCUUGGCCUCCUCUUCCAAGAACCUCUCUGGCCUGAAUUCUUCAGGGUUUUUCCAGUGGGCAGGGUUGUUGGCGAGCCACCAGGCAUUGACCAGGAUCUUGCUCUCAGCUGGAAUGUCGAAGCCUCCAAGCUUGGCAUCAUGAAGGUUCAUGUGUGGGACAAGUAGAGGAAUUGCCAUCCUAAGUCGGAGGGUCUCUUUGAUUACAGCAUUAAGGUAAGGGAGCUUGUAGGUGUCAGGCUCGGUGAUUUGGUGACCAGGUCCAAGCAAGGUAUCGAGCUCAUGGCGCAACUUCUUCUGGAUUUCAGGAUGGUUCACAAGCUCAGCAAUUCCCCACUCGAUCGACCAUAGUGUUGUCUCAAUUGCUGUUCCAUAAGACAAUCAAUUUAAUUUAGCCAAUUAAUCUACUAUUGAAUUCAACCCGUACAAGAAUAUAUUUAGAUGAACAAAGUCUUCUUCUAAAUUUUAAAUUCAAAAAAAUAGAGAAAGGCGUAAAUCUUUUUAACUAUCACACCUACCUCUUGAGAAGAAGAAAAAAUGUUAUUUAACAUGGGGAAGGUGAGAAAAUCAUUCCCUCUAAAAAUGUUAUUUAACAUGGGGAAGGUGAGAAAAUCAUUCCCUCUAUAUAUAUAUAUAUAUAUAUUCUACAAUACACUAUGACGUGGAAUAGAAGGAUAAUGGCCAUAUGACAUUUGAAACUUUCUGAAAAGCCUAAAGUAACAACUCAAAUUGGAGGUGGUUGGAACAGAUCUCAUGUGCCUCAACUGCAUUAAAUAAAUUAUAUUUAAAAAAAAAAUUAAUUUUUUACUUAAAAUGAAAUUUUAUUAUUAUUUUAAAUUGUUUUGAUGUGCUGAUAUUAAAAAUAAUAUUUAAAAAAUAAAAAUAAUUUUAUUUUAAUAUAUUUCUACAAAAAAAAAUAUUUUUAAUCACUACCACUAUUAUAAUUUUAAACAAACCGGUCGGCAUCCCCACAGCUCAUAGCUGGUGGGUGGUGGUCCAGCUCUUACUUGCAACCUAACACCACCAAUUCUGACUCAACCCCUUGUAUAUAUUUUUUAUAUAUACAGAAAGUGAGAGAUUUCAACGGACGGGGAUGAGAUCUGAAUCCAGCCCAGUCCGCCGCCAUAUGGUUAUUUUUUAAAAUAUAUUUUAUUUUAAAAUAUAUUAAAAUAAUAAUUUUUAAUUUUAAAUAUCAAUACAUUCGAUCUGAAAAAAAAAAACAUAAAAAAACAUCCUAUGCCAAGGAAAAGUUAAAAAGUUUUGAAAAGGGCCGUUCAGUCUGUGUAAUAUCCUUAAAGAUAGGAAAUUAACACUGAUUGUGAAGUUAGGUGGUUAAGUGAUGGAAAACGAUACCGACACCCACACGCCUUCUAACUCAAUCCUAUCACUUGGCAUUUGAGAUAUUAACCUUACUUGGGGGGACCUCUUAAUAUUAAUAAAUUUUACUUGUAAUUUAUCAUAGGGUUGACAUUUGGGUACUGGAUGUUAAUUUACUUGCAAAAAUGCCCUUCCACUAGUUGAGCAUGAAACGGCACCUACUAGUCAGGGAUAGAAAAUAAUACGGCACCUACUGGUCAGGUAUAGAAAAUAAUAAAUUAUAUUUAGGCUAUGUUUGUUUUUUCGUUUUAAAAAUGUUUUUGAAAAAAUUUAAAUUUUUUUUUUCUUUAAAUUAAUAUUUUUUUAGUGUUUUCAGAUAUUUUGAUGCGUUAUAUUAAUUAAAUUUAAAGAAUAAAACAAAUAUUAUUUUAAUAUAUUUUUAAAUAAAAAAUAUUUUAAAAAACAACUCAUUUCAGAACAGGCUGUGAAGUAGUAAAAGUGCAUACCAGCGACGUUGAUGUUCUCAACAAUGUAAAGAACGUUGUCCUCGUUGAUCUCUCCUUUCUUUUGAGCAUCGAGGAUAUGGUCUAUGGCGCACUUCAACCCUUCAUUGUUCAUGUUCUUUGUGCUUGCAAGUUUCCUAUUGUACAAUAACAACAUCAUUAAUAUUCAUUACCAUCUCUGCCUAACUCGGCCUUCAAACAGAAUCAUCACGGUUUCAAUUACAAAAGAAAAGGACGAGUCGCUGGUAAAUAGGUUGAACCAAAUCAAUUAAAAUUUUAAUCAGGUUGUAAUCAAGGCGUGUUUGAGAGUGUGGUUAGUGUUUUUCACUCGAAAAUAUAUUAAAAUAAUAUUUUUUUUAUUUUUAAAAAAUUAUUUUUGAUAUCAGUGCAUCAAAAUGAUCUAAAAAUAUCAAAAAAUAUUAAUGUGAACAAAAAAAAUUAAAAUUUUUUUAAAAACAUCUUUAAAACAUAAAAACAAACCUAACCUAUAAACUAACCCGAUAGAUUAACCCGAUUAACUUUAAAUUAAUUUUUUUAAUAAGAAAUCUAGAUUAACUCUUCAAAAGUAAACAGGUAUAUAUACACAGACCUCGAUGUGCAGAAUCACACAAGAUGCCAAAAAACUAGGCGCACAAAAUGCCAAAACUAUAAAUUCCAAACGGCAACAACCAUGAAGACAUGGAAGCUGCCAGUCCAGAGAACAGACACUAGAGCUGCCGGCUAGUUAUCCAUCAAAAUCAAACUCCCUAAGCAUGACGCUGUAAGUGAUGAAUAAGUAGGAAGAAAAAGAAGAGUUGAAUUAUAAUAUUAAGGAGGGAUUUUAUUGAUAUAAGUAUUUACAUUAUAUUUUUUUAACAUCAUGAUCUAUCUAGAAUAUGCUUUUAAGGCCAGAUAGUAUAUACUUGAAUUGAUUUGAUUAGUUGCCUGAAUAUUAAGUCCCAUAAAAAAAAUUAAAAAUAGUAAUGCACGAAUUUGCAGGGAACUAAUAAUAAUAAUAAAACUUAAUAUUAAUAGAUUACUAAAUUGUUCAGGAUUGUUUUCGAUUCAUUAAUUAAGAUCUAAUUAAUGGCCAAGAUUCGAUGUGUUAAAAAAAAAAAUUUAAAAAAAAGGAAAGGAAGAGAGAAACUUACUUCCUCUCAUCGACAAAGUAGUCCUUGAAGAGUUGCAACCUUCUCUCCUUAACCUCCUGGCAGAUCUUCAAGUAACCUCUCAAGAAAGGUCUCAAAAUGGGGAUGAAAUCACCAUAAUUAUAAUCAAAACUCUGAGCCAAUCUGCUCCUCUCACCAUUCAAAGCCUUGAGCUUGUUAAACAAAGGAUCGUCUUCGCUCUCAAAUCUCCUAUCAAACAUAAUCCUGUACAUAUUAUUAUACAUCAUGAGUUGCAAUCUCCUCCUCAAAACAAUCCCAUUGGUUGCAGCCUCAGGGUUUUUCUUAACAUCCUCGACAACUUGAGCGGCUUCCUCC